UGAAUGCUGCUUAUGCCCGUGACUAAAUCCAUCGCAUGCGUACACAACGGGGCGUUGCACUGCGGACCUGCCCAUGCAACUGGGCAUGGAACGCACCCCACAUGCGGCUUCUCACAUCCAUAAUUGCAUCAUUACGCUCGGGUGCCAGGCGACCUCGGACGCGCUGGCCAAGGAGUACGCGCGCUGGCAGCAGCACGCGGCCGUCAAGGACGUGAGUGGCCUGGGCGGCCUGGGUGGGGGGGGGGAUGGUAAACGUGUGGAUGGCAGCCGGGUUGGCGCGGACGACUGGCGCUCCACUGCCGCGGUCAGCUGCGCUGUCGGGUCGGAGCGAAGGGUUUCUGUGGGCUGCUGCACAUGCCGUGGGUUUGCCGUCUGUGGCCUUCACGUGCCCCGUGUGCAACGCCGCCGCGAUGUGCCAAACAGGCGAUUGCGGAGCUGGAGGCGCUGAAGGCGGAGGCCACCGCCGUGCUGGACAAGCACCUGGGCAAGACCGCGGAGCAGGUGCGUGUGAGGGUUGCUUGCACCAAUCCCUUGGGGGUUGGGAGCAUGGGGCAGAGGCGUGCUUCUAUGCGUAGCGGCCUGCCUGUAUGCCGCUGCGGCCGCCUGUAUGCCGCUUGUACAUGGCAUGCAUGCAACAGCCAUGUCGGUGACCACACGCGCGUGCCUUGGCUGCGCCCCCAUCAUCAUCUUCAUUGCAGGUCCGCAGCGAGCAGGCCGCGGUGCUGGCUGCCGCCAUCAAGAAGGCGGAGGCCGCCAAGGGCGCGCCGUGGGCGGCGGCGUUCCUGGAGGACGUGAAGAAGGUGCAGUGGUUCGACGCCUGCGUGGCGGAGAACCCCGCUGUUGGCCCCAAGGUGACCGCGUAAAGGCGCCGGCGCUUUGCAGGGUGUCGCGGCGGGUUCACGCGAGGCUGCAGCUGAAGCUGAGGCGGGGGCUGUUGGAGGUACAGCAACGGCGUUGUGGAGUAGCGGCAGCGGCGUGGCGAUGUACGGCGACAGCAGAAGCGCUCUGGGCGGGGGCACGAAGAAGGGACCUCCAGUCGCGGGACGCGUCCGUGGGCGCGCUGCUGGGCACGCGGUGGCGUGAGGGCGGAGUAAUGAGCGCGCGUCGCAGGGUCAGCAUGUGGAUGGGCGCUGGGUAGUGGGGGAAGCCUGGGGCGUGUCGGCUUCCGUUGCCGCGUUGGUAGUGACAGCGCGGCUGAAACGUGGUUUCGACGGCUUAUGGUGGCCAGAGUAGAUAUGCUCCGCAGAAGCGGGGCCAGUGGCAGGAACAGUCACGGCUCGCUUAUGUCGGGCUCUCAGCUUAACUCCAGAUGUUAGGAUAGAGGUGCGGGUGCGUGUCAGGUUGUAGUGCGUAUGAGUGCGUGGCGUGAGUUCAGGCGGGUUGCAGUGUGUUUGUGCAGGAUACCGUGGGUAGCCCGACGGUGCGAGUAAUCGGACAAAGCGUGCAUUGCCAUGUUGCAAUGUAAUGAUGCCACGCCACGAUCUUUGGCUCCCGGGAAUCGGGCAUGAAUGUGGAGUUUGGCACCCCUGGCGCCGCACCCCAGGGGCCCGCUUCAUGCCCACAGUCCGCCUUGCCACACGGAAAGCCAGGACUGGUGCAGAACCUGUUAUUUUACAGCAAUUGCAGGCUAUGGUAUUCGUCAGCGAUGUGCGGAGCUGAUUCCACAACGCUCGGCUCGGCGGGAAGUGCGACGGACGGGGGCACGCGAAAAGCCGAGCAGCCACCCAAACCGGCGGAAUAGGUUCGUGGCAAGCUUCUCUGGCACGAAAUGCUUGUCCAGAGACCCUAAAAACCGCCCAACGCCUGCGCAAGCGGGCUCGCUUUGCUUGCAGGCGUGUUGUGGUCCAUGUGGCACGCAAUUCUUGCCUCAGACGCUGCGCCCCACCGUAAGGCCCAUAUAGGUGCAUAAAUGGACACACAUGGCAGUCAAAAGAACUGGGCGACCGAAUUAUGGGCUGUGGGCGUUUUCGACCCGCUAUUUGUGGGCCGAAUGCUUGCGCGCAGGGGCUUGCGCUCCCCCCGGCCGGUUCCAGCGCAUAGCUCCAGCAUUUAGCCACCUGAAGUGCACGAUGGUGCGCUGAGGCGGCUGGGCAUCGCAAAAUUCAGGCUGGAAACGCGAGUCGGCAAUGGUACGGCGCCCAUGCAAGCGGCCCCAAAAUUAAGGCCCGAAGAGCAUUUGCCUCGCCCACAGCGUUCUGUCUGCACUCUUCCAACUCUCUUUCUACACUUUCUUCACUCUCUACAUAUCGCAGAGAUGGCCCUGUGCAUGCAGACCCGCUCGGUCGGUGCGGUCCGCCGCACCAGCGCUGUUCGCAGCGCUCCCUUCCGCGGCAGCCGCAUGGUUGUGCGCGCGACCCCCGCUGUGUCUGAGAUUGUGGACAAGCUGAAGACCCUGACCCUGCUGGAGGCGUCGGAGCUGGUGUCCGAGAUUGAGAAGACCUUCGGUGUGGACGCCUCGGCCGCCGCCCCCGUUGCCAUGGCUGCCAUCGCUGCCCCUGGCGCUGCUGCUGCUCCCGCUGUUGAGGAGAAGACCACCUUCGAUGUGGUGCUGGAGGAGAUCCCCGCCGACAAGAAGGUCGGCGUCUACAAGGUGGUCCGCAACAUCGCCAACAUCGCCGUCAACCAGGUUAAGGACUUCACCGCUACUCUGCCCAAGGUCCUGAAGGAGGGCCUGAGCAAGGAGGACGCUGAGGCCGCCAAGGCUCAGCUGCUGGAGGCCGGUGCCAAGGCCAAGGUCGCUUAAGCGGCCUGCGCGUAAUUACAUCAACGUCUUGUCAGCAGUAGCGUAAUUGGUGAGCGAAGAGCGAGCUGGGUCGCGCUGUCGGCAGUGGGCAGUGCUUUCGUGGUGGAAAUGUGGUCGCGGACUUCAACUUCGUGGACCGACCGCGUCGACGCCGCACUGCAAAGCCAGGUGUUGUAGUAAUGCUGGGAACUGGUGGCUUGCUCGGAGAGCGAUGGGCUUCGGGUCGAGGGGUUUCAUGUGGCGAUGGGAGUUGGAGCCUGGUGGCAGUUCUUUGCUGCGGGUUGGGAGGUCAAGUCCUGCAUGCAGUGGCUGAAUGCGGGGGCCAUGUGCGUAUGGGUGCAGGCAGGCGGGGCCUAUGCCGGCAAUUUUGGACUAACUGUGCCGGCCGGGUCGCCGCUGUGGGGUGGUUAGGGGCGUGUGCGUCACUGCGAAGUGUUUGCUAUGGCGACUGACCACUAACCAUGGCUAUGAUGCGAGCCUCCUGAUGCUACUCAGGGCCCAAAUGGUGACGCUUGUCUGGUGCUCCCCAGGCAACGCGUAGAGCAAAGGCGGAUUUUCGAGAUAGUUGUGGCGGCGUCAUGCUGGGGUGGCGCGGCUCACACCCGCCCGUAGAUGAUGAUGUAGCGCAGAAGAGUGUCCCUAGCGCGGAGGUUGGAGGUGUGCGGUGCUCAAGUGCCGUGAAAGACAGUGCGAGGCUUAUCCUGGAUGUAACGGAGAAGCUGGUCAUGACGAGUCGAUACUUCUUCGUGCCGAGGGUUUGCGAGAUGUGGGGGUGUUCGCAAAGCUGCGUGGUGGGACGACAGCCGGGGUUCAUGCAGCUGAGGGUUACCGGUGGUCAGCAGCUGACAGCGGGUACGGAUGAACGCAAGGGUGGGGUAUGACUUGUUCCUGAGUAUGACUUGUUUAGGUCUUAGGCAUUGCAGCGGGAUCGAAUGCAUGGGGCAGAGUUGGACGAGAGGAGUACUUAGUACAGCAGCAGCUUGUGACAGCGGGUGCGGGCAGCAUGCGACGUUGCGCACUGUACUCAGCACUUGUAGCAAUGGGCUGUGCAGUCAACGGAUACGCAGUCCAUCAGCCAGCGCUGCUGCCUCCGUGAGCUUACGGUGGCCCCAGGACCAGGGGCAAUCUCUAUGGUGAAGAAGGGGGCGUACAGCGCUGUUUACAGCAGUAGCGGUGCGGCCAGGAUGGCUUUGCCCUGAUGCGAUUACGGUAUAGGCGAGCGUUUGUGAAAUGCGGUCUGCAGGUCGGUCGGGCGGGCGCGCGGCAGCAUACGGACGAAGGCAGUAUCUCACGCCCCUGCUCACGCUGGAGAGGAGCAGGCGCCGGCGCUGUAGCCCCCUGGGGCGACGGGGUAGCGAAGUGCCAAAGAGCAAUGCUCGGGCAGCUUGGCAACAGGUUUACGCAAGGCUAUUUGGCUACGGUACUCCGCCCAAGUGAGGACUCCCACACCCCGCACCCCAGGGGUUCCUGCGCCGCACCUGAAGGCACCCCGACCGCACACCGUAUGGUACACACCGUACGGUACCCAGCUUGCCCUGUGGGCUGCACCACACCUCGUCCCUGCUCUGAUGCUCUCCCCCAUCGCUUUGCCUGCUGCUAUUCUUGCCCCGCCAGCCCCGGCCCCAUUUGAUGACGUUCUGGGGCCAUUCGCCCCUUCGUGGUGGACAGGGGAGGGGUCAGGUCACAGCAUUUAGGCAUCUGGGAAAGCAGGGUCACGGGAUGCUUUCGGAGGACUCAAUCAGAGCACACGCAGGACUCAAUCAGAGCACACGCACGGCACUCCGAGUGUGACAUACGCAAAGCGCGGCCGAGCCGCUGAGGAGCUUGAGUGAUGGCUAAAGAGCAGUGGAGAACGCCGGGUCAGCGAAAGUGGAGCGGCGCUGCAUGGCACGCCGUUCUCCUGACCAUGCUAGACCACGCGGCCACUAUCCAAGAGUCCCAUUAUGCCCAUCUGCCGAGCUCAUGCCUUGCUUGGAGGACUUCCCAUGCAUCACACACACAGCCUCGACUGCGCAGCCCUUGGCCCGCGUGUCUCUACCCGUCUCUACUGGCCUCGUCAGGCACAGUCUCAUCUGCCCCACUGUCUAGGUGGCUUCGCCAGCGCGGGGCCACAGCGGCAUACAGAUUACCGGUAACUUGGGCUAUGAGGGCUAUGGGACUACGUCUGGGAAUACGCUGCACACUAGGGGACUACGCCAACCUGCCCUACCUGUCCAACACCCUGUCCCAUCUGCCCCACCGCCCCAUCUGACACCGUCUUGAUGGCUUUCCCAACGUGGGGCCAUAGCGGCACGCAGAGUAACUUAAGGCCUGAGGGCAAUGCUACUAUACCCAUUAACAGCUUGAAGGCGACCUGGAGCAGCAUGCGGGUGACGGCCGGUGAUUUCACGGCAACCGCCCCCAUUUGUUGUACGCUUGGCCGCGGUCGCUCCAGGCGCUGCCUGGUGGUCGCUUAAUAAGCUACUAGAAUGACACAGGACACGUGACCACGUACAUGUAUUUAGUUUAUUUGACUACCGUCCCGCUCCUGCAUUCGGUCGGCAUUUGAUCAACGCGCGCGCUCCUUCUGCUUAGACACAAUCGCUGCGGCCAAGAGCCUCGCUGGCUACAUAUACAGCGAUAACGAGAGCUGUUGCAGCGCUUUGUGCUCUGAAGCGGCAGGGCGCCCUGCUUAGGGUUUUGCUUGGGGUGUCCCUUGCUUCCAGCGCCAACGACUCCACGUCCCUGCACCGGCCACCCCCACCUGCGCGCUUACCCAGCUAACUUUCAACAGAUCUCUGGAUGCUUUGAGUCACCGAACGCCUGUACAGCAUGGCCCCAGCACCCUUCGGGCACGCUUCGGGGGCCGGGCUCCUGCGGCUUGGCCCACCCUCCCACUCGCCACAGCACGCGCGCUGCCUGCGCGCACCGUCGGCGGCCCACGGCGCUGCCGGGGUCAGGUCGGGUGUGGGCCUGGGCGCCCGAGCAACACGCGUGCCGCUCUUGGUGUCGGCCUACGCCGCCAGCGAGCAGCUUUUCAAGAAAUCGCCUAGCCUGAUUUCGAAGGAGGAGCGCAGCAUUCGUAAGAACUUCAAACAGGUGCAGAACAAGAUCAACUCCUUCCCCCGUGUCGACAACCGCAAGAUGAUGCAGGUGAAGCCCUUUGAACUCCGCCCACGGGCAUGCCCAGCUGGCCCGGGUUCCCUUUUGAAUGUGUCACAUGAAUGCGGCGCUGUUUCCUUGCGUACCUUGUUUAGUGGAUCGCAUGCCUACGCUGUGGGGUUACCCAUCAGCGAAUGUCGUGUUGUUACGGUACUCCGUCGUGGCGUCCCUUAAACAUGCAGGCGACCAUCCAGCAUGGCAAAGAAGACUUUGCCGACGGCUUCAACAAGAUGGCGUCAAUGUUCAGUGCAGAGGAUGUUGUGAGUGAUCGGGCUAUUGCCGCGGGCCGCAGCAGCCCAGAGACAGCGAAGGGGGAUGCUUGCGGGUCCAUGGCACUUGCCUGUUUGGGUCGAAGGCCUUGGUCUGCUGCCAUGUGCAGGAGCAAAGCACAGCUAAAACAGCAAUCGACAAGGUGACCGGUGCCAUCCGCCAGUCCACUUUACUCAAGGUGAUUCCCCCACCCCGCGCCCCCAGAAGACUGACGCACCCUCCUCACCCAUGGCCGUGUUUUUCAUCCGUUUUCAGCGGCGCAUUCCCCCCUUGCAAGCCUCCAGUGCGUCUGCUUACUUGACGCGAGUGCAUUUCACCUCAAACCGCCCAGUAGGUAACCCGGACACAUUCCGGUGGCAGCUUUGGCCGGCGCACGCUGGUGACGGGAGCAUUCGACGUCGGUAGGUGCGCGGACGGCGGACGCCGGGUGGGGAUCUGGGCUGCUGGUACGGACGCAAGGGGCAGCACAGCAAUGCUGCCCGACGCCGGUAUGCCCAACACCAACAACAUGCGCGCGCUCAUGCGUGUGGUACACGCCUCGGCGCUCACAGCGGCUUCCCACCUCCACAGACCUCAUCGUGUACGUGAAGCAGUACAAUGGGUGCGGCAUGACGGACCCGGACACCUGGCGGUACGACUCGGACCUCGUGACGGACAUGCGGCGGCACGUGAGUGGGACUAGUCCCGUAUGGUAGUGUGCCGUACGACGCUGGGUGGCUUUGCGCGGGCUGGCGGAACGCCGUUACGAAUCACUGCGUGGCACAAAGCACGUAUGGGGUGCAAGGGGUAAGCACGCAUGUUGUUAUUAUGUGAUGCGAGGCGCGCGGUCCGACUUCACGAUGUCCUCGGUGUGUGGUUGCUGGCGAUUGGACCGCACUGGCCGGGCCCUCCCCGAAACGCCCAGUCGUACACAACCCCCACAUGGCUCACACUUGCUUCCAGGUGGUUGCAACGCUGGAGGCAGCCAACUCUGCGUGGGAUGUGAGGGUCCCAGGCAACGCCCACUACUGCGACGUGCUCCAGGUUUGUGCUUAUUACUACAGGAGUUCCUGCACAGCGGCGCACAUCAUACUUGCCAUUUGCAUAGCGCGUCAAGGUGCCCGAUGUCCAUCAAUAUGCGUGCCGCUUAGCCCUUAGCCGAUUACCGCCGGGCGCCUGCUGCACCCCGGGGCUGCCUGCAGGUGACGGUGCGGGGCGUGCCGGUGGAUCUGCUGUUGGUGCCCGACUGCGCGCGAGGUAGGCGGGCGGGCGGGUCAGUGCACGGGUGGGCAAUGAGUCAGGAAGAGGGGCAUGGCUGCGUUUGGGGUGCGUAUGUGCAGCGCGCCUUUCCUUGCUUGGGGGCGGUGUGAGGCUAGAUAGGUAAAAAGUGACAUUCACGCACCCGGUAGCUCCCAUGUGCACGGUCGGCACCGUCGCCACUGCUGCUGAUGAGGUUAUCCACGCUGGGUUGUUUCGACUGGCGACGCAUGCAGGCAAGCCCGGGGACCCAGCGUGGGAGCAGCACGUCGCCCUCAUGACCGAGGUGUACGACAACCCCGCUGCGGCCGAGUACGACCACAUCCGCGAGCGCGCCGACGCAGCGGCCUUCACACGAUACGUGGAAGGCGUGCACGACGACGUGAAGGGCGUGGUGCGCUACGUCAAGGUGCGUACGGCAUGCCCCCUCCCCUGAAGGUUGCCUACCGUCUACCAUUCUCUAGCUAUAAUCAUGACUGUAGCCCCCCGCACACACGCACACCAGCUCCGACAGCGACUGGGACUGCUGGGGUAUUGGGGAGCAGGCGCCGCGACGAUGUGGGAAUGGCGUACCCAUAUAGCGGUAACGGCACCCUCCACAGCCAUCAUAUGACAGCUUUUACGGUUCCACUGCUACAGACGAUCUGCGCGCUCGGGACCAUAACGACUAUGCACCGCACAGCCCACGGGACCCACAUGUGGGCCCGCAUUCGGUCGCCAUGCGGACCCACAUGCAAAUGCACAGCAGUAUGGACGAAUCACGGGCCAUGCGCUGCCCGCGGCCUUGUUUCUUACACGCAGACGUACCUUGCCCUUGUGCUUCUUGCCACACACGCACACACAUUGCGCGUUUCUUCCCUUGGUGCUCGCCAACGCGGCCUUCGGGCCGCGCGUGCAGGCGCUGUACAAGUACGGCAUCCUGCUGGACACCGCGGACACCCCCAAGGGCGGCGGCGGCAGCUGGUGGCCGCCCGAGGACGACCGCAUUCGCUCCGUGUCGCUGGAGGUGCUGGUGCUGGCAGCCGACCAGCGGCUGAGGCAGCGCAAGUACAGGGGAGGCACGCCCGCCAGGUGCGCUGGGCUUUACCGUCGUUUCUAGAACUCACUAGACUCACGUGUGCCUACUUGAGCGCGCAAGGCGCUAUCAAACUGUGCAUGCAUUUCUAAGGAGUGCUAUGCCGCGGAUGCUGGAAAUCUAGCCCUGGGGUCAAUGCCGCCGCCAUCCUGCGGACAUGGUGCCCUCUUGCGUUUUACUAUUAUUGCAGCGGCAACAUGUACAAGUUGGAGCUGUUCAUUGAGUUCUUGGAGCUUGUGGUCGCGGCCGUGGAGGAGGGGGAGGUGCGUGUACUUGCGUGUAUGUGUGUGCACGUGUGACUACGAUUUGCAUGGUUGCCUGCUCGAUUCUCAUGAUCGAGCGCUCAGAACAAGCUGAGGCAACGAGGCACGCUAGGCGCGCUGUGGUUUCAGCAGGUGCAAUGCAACGAGCUCGCAUGCAAAGAGGUUGGUGGAGGUGUAUUUGCUGCCCAUGCUACAGCCCAUGCUGCCCAUGCUACAGCAAGCAUGGGUGAUCAUCACCACCUGUGCUGCAGCGACCCAUGCACGCGUGCCAAAUACGUGACAGGUGGUGAAGGUCCGGGCGAAGAAGUGGGGCUUUGACGGGGACGUGUACGACUUCGCGCACUGCUGGGAGGGCGACGCGGUCCGCAUCAUCCACCCAAUUGACCCCACCUGCAACCUGGAGCGGGUGAGUUUAUAUAAAUCCUUGACUUCACUGCUCUCGUGCCAGAUGGCCACUCAAGCAGCUUGCUGUGUUCCCACCUUUCAUCCUGUUCCCCAUGUUUUAACUCUGCAACCCCCCACUUGCAUGCGCACAGCCGCGCGAGCACCGCGGGCCCCCCAACUGGCGGCCGCUGGUGGAGCUGGCGAGAAGCAUCCUGGACCUGAUGAAACGCGGCGGCACGUUUGAAGAGUUUCGUGCGAUACGGGCAGUGCAAGUGCCCCUCCUUGCCAUGAACGAAAAGCUCUUUGCCCAGACAGUUGCUGGACUCUUUCUGUGAUGGGUCCGCAGGUUACCUUGCAAUCAAUGCCAUGGACUCCCGCGAGUGGGGUGACACAUUACAUAUUUACAUUGACACGCGGUGGACUCGUGCGGAGGGGACUUUGAUCAUGAAGCUGGGCACAGCUGGCGUCUGACCAGACGAGCGAUAACAAGUUAGGCGCUUCGAGCGCACAGUAACAUCUACGGCGGUAUGCAGGGUCUUUGAUAUGAAUGAUGUCGAUGCGCAGCUGUGCAGGACGGUGUGGCGAACGUGACGGCGUGCCGUGAUUUGAUUAUUGGUUUGAGGCGCUGUGUCUGAUUUAGUUUGAUGCCCGCGGCAAACCUAUCUUUCCACGCAGCUCGAUGUACCGACGUGCAUUGUUGUACAGUGAUCAAGGUGUAUAUGAGAGGUCAUGACUGGUGAGGAAGGGAGAAUGCGCCGUUGCCGUGUGGGGGAGACCAUUGGAAGGGGCACGGAAGGGGUUGGGGGAUGCGGUUGAGUCGGCUGCGGCUGUAGAGCGUGGCUGUUGGUGUGUACGCACUCUUGCCUUGGCGUUGUUCAUUGAAUGUUGGGGUCUGGGAACUCGGGACUACGCCAACCUGCCCCUUACCCUGUCUCAUCGCAUCCACGAGCGUGGCUGUUUGUGUCGCACCAGGCCAUCAGCCAUCCGGCCGGCAUGGCCAGAUGGGCUGUGGUGAAGUACGGUGUAGGCGUUGCAGUACCACUGGCAAGCUUUUCAAUGCAGCUGACAGUGUGGAACCCUUUAGGUCCUGAAUGCCAUAUGGACACUCGGACAACGCGUUGACCAAGGCAAGUCAUGACAUUGAUGAAGUCCUGCUCUGGGCAACUGCGCCUCUGGCGCUCCUGCGGGCCUAAUGUUCUGCACUCCUGCACUCCUGCCACGUCGUUGAUCGUCUUCUUCGGGCCGCAUACGGCGUACCCUUAGCUUCCAGCAUUUGCAUCGUUGUCCCCGCAGCACCGCCCCAGGCCCUGGUGCCCCGCGCCGCAUAAGCUCAAAUAAGCUCAAUCCAUAACAUGAGGACGUGUCACUGUCCAACGAGCCACAACAGCAGUCCGGCCGCUACGUACGGUAAACACACGCUUCGGUUCUCGCGUGUAGCCGCUCAAACCACACCCUGAGCCUCUCGGCAUCACAGCCGCGGCAACACGUCCUCUGCCGGCCGCCACACCUGCACGCCGGGCGCUUGCCCCUGCAACCCGCCCGCGCCCACCUCCCCGCCCCCGCCCGCCUCCGCCUCCGCCACCAGCUCUGCCGCGCCCGCCACCACCGCCUUGUCCAGCACCCAUGCCGUACUCGCCAGCACGCCGUACAUUGCCGUACUCCAGCUGAAGUCCUCAACAGGCAGCACGUGCCCCGCGUGUACGAACAGCAGCUCGGGCCGGGAGGCCAGGCCCUCGGGCAGGGGCUGCGUGCGGCCGGGCUGCCACAGCAGCACGCGGCCCAGGCUGUCGGCGGAGGCCAGCAGGCCGCGGCGCUGCGGGCAGAACGCCAGCUGUUGCACCUUGCACCUGUUUGUGUUGCGGGAGUUGCGGGAGUCGGGGGCGUUGGAAUUGUUGGAGCGAGGGGGUGGUGGUGUUAUGGUGCUGAACCGGGACAAGUGCAGUGUGGUGUGGCGUGGCGUAGGGUUUGGGGAGGUGGGCGGCUGGUGCGGGUGCGUCGGGCAUGGGGAAUCGGGUGGGUCAGCCAGCGGUAUGGCACGGCUUUGGCAGAGGUUGACCUCAAACACGGGCAUAGGCACGAGUGCGCGUCUCCUUGGGUGGGAUGCCCGCUGCCCAGUCCGCUACUCCCCAAACACACCUGUGGCCUUUCAGCCGGUACAGCGCCCCGCCGCCUGCUCCUGCUCCGCCAGUCCCACCGGCGCCCGAGGCGGUGGAUGCCGCCGCUCCCGCCGCACCGGCGCCGCCUUCGCGGCCGCUGCUGAGCUGCCGCACGUCGUACACACGGAUGAUGCCGUCAUUUCCCCCCGCCGCCAGCAGCGGGGCGGAGCCCACGACAUCGCCGCCGCCACUGCCACCACUGGCACCGACGCCACCACCAGUAGCAGCACCCGCGCCCGGCGGCGGCGCGAACGCGACGCCGUUGACGUCCGCCUUCGAGCGCGGCGCGUGCAGCACCGGUCUCUGCUGCCGCGAGUCCCACAGCAGAACCCUCCCGUCCGUUCCACAUGACGCUAGCAGCGCCGCGCUGCCGCCGCCACCUGCCGCCUCAGCCACCCCUGCCGCCGCCGCGCCGCUUUCGUCGUCGCCGCCGCCGCCGCCGCCGCCGCCGCCGCCGCCGCCGCCGCCGCCGCCACUCCAAGCCAGCUCCACAACAUCGGCGUCGGCCUCGUGCCCGACGCCCUUUCGCAACGACACCAGCUGCAGCCCCCCGUCCUCCCGUAUCCCGUACUCGGCAACCGCGCCGUACUUGACGCCGCUGUACAGCCGCAGCGGCCCCACACCACUACUGCCGCCGCCUGCGACGCCGCCCCAAGCCAGCGCCACGCCCACCUGCUCCUCGCAGCGCAGCUCGCUCCAGGGCUUGUCCUGCCGUGGCGGCGGCAGCCGAUACCGCCAGUCCGGCCCAUGCCCAUCUGGGUCCUCGUCUUCGCCCUCCUCCUCCUCCUCGCCCUCGCCCUCCUCCUCGCCCUCCUUCGGCCAGUACACCUCGAGAUCCGGCGGGCUGAGACAGAAGCCGCCGGCGCCGCCGGCGCCGCCCUCCCGCCCUGCGCCCGCUGCCCCUGCCGCUGCCGCUGCCCCUCCCGUGGAGCCCGAGCCGCCGUUUCCGCUGCCGCUGCUGCCCAGGCCGCCGGGCCCGUGGGUCAGGUAGGGCCGCAAGUCCAGUAACGCCAGGCCGCCGCCGUCACACUUGGUGGCCACCAGGUGCGGCGCCGCCGGGCAGUACCGCAGCCGGUCCACGCCUCCCAGCGGGUGCGAGAAUCGUACGGCGUCGUACAUCAGCGGCGCCACGGCGGCGCCCACCUCCGGGCGGUCGUACUCUUGCACGUCGUACAGGCCGGAGGCGGCGGCGAGGGAGCCGCCGCGGGAGCCGCUGCGGGGGUCGCGGGCCAGGGCGGCGCAGGAGUGCGGCACCGCCACGCCGCGAAGCAGCACAGCCGGCGUCUGCCCCGUGACGUUGCUCUCGCCCACCAGCAGUGCGUGGCGCGUGAGCGCGUGCGGCGCGCGCACGUCGGGCUGUGUGUGCGGGUGCAGCUGCAGCGUCGGGCUGCGGGGGAAGGCGCGGUGGGAGGCGCGUUGGGAGCAGCACGGGGAGCGGGGUCAGCAGGGGUUGGUGAGCGGGGCCGAAGGGAGUCGUGGCGGAUGGAGGGGCUGCAGAGUGCUUCUGUGUGUCCUGCGCCUGUGCGCGGCGCAGUGUCGCCCACCGUGCCCAAGGUAUUGUUGCGCACGAGCCGCUAGCCCGGCGCUCAUUCCCCCGCCAGAGGCCCAGAAUCCAGGUACACGAAAACACACCGGAGCAUUGGGCCUUCGUGCGGGCCGCGGAGCGCAGCACGGCACGCGCCCGCACGCCCGCACGCAGCAGCACGCACGCGCGCACGCAAGCAUCUCACCAAGGCACGGCGUAUCUGUCCUGGACCAUGGUGUCGUAGAACAGCGGCACGUUGUUGCGCCACGCCUGCAGCCGCUCCAGCGCUAGGAUGUAGGGCCGCAGCCGGGCCUUGGCGGGGUCCAGCUCGCCGCGCAGGACCUCGUCUUCGGCAUCGGGCUCCAUGGCCGUGGUUUGUUGGGGGGUUGCGGCGGCUGUUGCGCUGAGAGUGCCGAAGAUGGUGCUGACGCUGCGAGGCCGGCGCGAGCGUGCGCCCGGGGCCAGGGGGGCCUGGGGCGACUUCGUGCCCAGCAGGCGUCGCACGCCCCGAGCUGGCUGGCCCGCUACGCUGCGCCAAGCUUUACCCUCUACAGCUUUGCUUCAUGUACCAUGUGCUGGUGUGCCAGAGGAGUGCGUGCGUGUCGCUGUUGACGCGCUGAGGCCAGCGUUCAGGCUAAAGUGGGCAAUCGGCCCUGCCUUCCACUGGCGAUUCAAUACGUAUGCCAAGAGGUAUUCCAAGUGCUUUGGAGCAAGCUACUAAUAGCUAACAAUUAGGACAAGCUGGCUAACGCCCCGCACCAUCAUUGGGCGGGAACAGGUUGUUCUGUCGACUGGGGUUAAUACUUCGUGAUAGUAUGUUGAUUAGACUCAUGAAUAAUAAAAUGGAACAGCGGCUUACACACUGGGCUGUAGAUCGGUGCAGUGUGCCAUACUAAAUUGCGACUGCACGAACGAGCGGCUUCGGGCAUUAUCAUGCAUCGCCUUUUAUUUACCAGGUAUCAGUAGCAAGGCUUCAGCAACUCAGGCCCUCGUUCGCCGACUGCGAUGGACGAGGAAUUGUUGGGCGUGGAGCUUGAGGCGCUCGAAGCCACCUUCCCGGACGAGCUAAUAGUGCAACGCGGACAGAACUGCACCGAUGCCGCACAUGUACUAGAGGUUCUAUUGCCGCUGGCGCCGAGGGGCUGCCCAGCUCACCACGCCUUCGUGACGGGCCGGCUGCGGCUUGGCGUGACCGCGUCAUACCCGGACCAGCCGCCCACGAUAGCCCUGCUCGACACAAAGGGCAUUGGGGACACCCGCCUGGCGCGGCUGCACCAGGUGCGGCGGCGUGGCUUAACAACUUGCAUUGGGCAACGUGAGCAGGCCGUGGGCGGCGCACCAGCUGAUGAACCCAGCAGGGACUCGCCGGGUUCGCGAUCCGCCUCCACCUCACCACCGCUGCGUGGCCGCGUGUCCAGUUGGUCGCAUAGCUCGGCGCCCCUCCCAUUUGCCCAUGCUCCUGGCACACACACGCACCACAGCCCUUCAUCACAGCAGUAGACGAAGAGUGCCAAUGAGGGUGCUAACACCUGUCGUACGGCACGUGUGGUGCUGGUGCAGACGCUGCGGGACGAGGCGGCGACGCUGGCGGGGGAGAUGGCUCUGGGCGCGCUGUGCGAGCACGCGCUGGACGUGAUCACGGCGGAAAACACACCCGAGGGUGCGGGCGGGGGAGGGUGUACAUGUGUGUGUGUGUGGGGGGGGGGGAGUGAGGAGGUGGUGGUGGGGGGGGGUGCAAUGGCUGUGUGACCGCGUGUGUUGUUUGUGUAUGUGCUUGUGAACGGACGUGUGUGUGCGCGUGGUCAUGUGCACGUGUGCUUGUGGAUGGGCUUGUGUGUGCGCGUGGUUGUGCUGGGGCUGAGCUUUGGUGGGCAGGCAGCUUUGGGUUCGGUAUGCUGAUGAUGGGGCACGGCCGUGGGCAGCAGGCAUUGGCAGCUUGCUGGGUAUGUAGGCGUUACAAGGUGGUGGACGGUGCCACGGCGGACCAGCGGACCAGCGGACCAGCAGACCAGCAGACCAGCAGACCAGCAGACCAGCGGACCAGCGGGUUUCAUGACAGCCCGUGCCCGCAAGCGCAGGAGCCGUGUGUUUAUUGCACCAUGCCUUGCACAUGCUCCUUCACGACCCCUACGUAGCCCAAUCGCCUUGUGCUGCGGCAGGCAUGUGCGCCUUCUGUCUCACCUCGGUUGAGUUGGCGCCGCCGGCGGCGGGCCAGGGCGCCAGCGCCGGCGGGGGCGGCGGUGGCGGCGACGGGGGCGGCGCCGAGGGCGGGCGGGAGGGGCUGGUGCGGCUGGAGUGCUUCCACGCCUUCCACAGGUGUGCCUGUCGAAAGGGACGCAGGGUUGCGUGUAGGAGAUGCGGUGCGACUCUUCGCGGGAAAUUGGUGCGCUCUUCGAUGUGCGGUAAAGGAUACAGAUACAGAUACAACGUGAGUGCUUCUUAACGAGCACAUGGAAAAUAAAGCGCAAUGUAUGUGUGGAUGUGUGUGCUUGCGCCACCGCUACAGCCGCCACCGCGCCUGCCGCUCUGCCGCCCCCCACGGCCCUCCGCCACAGGGAGUGCUACUCGAGCUGGUGGCUGUGGCGGCAGGCGGCGCUGCGCGAGCAGGAGGCGGCGCUGGUGGCGCACACAGGGGCCAGCGCCGCGUCCGUGCUGCGGGUGCGUGCGUGCGUGUGUGUGUAUGUACGUGUGUACCGGUGGGGUGGGGGGUUACAUUCAUGAUUAUUGAAGAAGUGAAGGCGUAGCCAGGUACAGUAGCAUGGGGGAGGGGAUCGUAAAUUCCAACCCAAAGAAACCAAGAUCCACAAGAUCAGCCCACAGAGCGCGCGGGGUUCCUCGGCUGGCGGACAAGCACGCGUGCGCUACCGGUACCGAUGCCGGCUGGCACAUUGAGACACGCGCUGUGGGGUGGGGUCUCUGUCUUUUCCGCUUGCCUGCCUGCCCUGACCCAAUCUGCCUGGACCCAAACCUGCCUGGCCUUCCCCCUGUUGAAUAAAUUCGAAUGCAACCCCUUUGGCGUCUGCCGCCGCACGCACAGGGCGAGGGCCUGCCGCCGCGCGACGGCGACGGCGUGUACGCCACCUCCUGCCCCGUGUGCCGCGCCGCUGCGCCCCUGGACUGCCUGGGCCCGCAGCUGCAGACCGAGCUGGUCGACACAGCCCUGGCCGCCGCCUUCGCUGCAGAGGAGGCGGCGGCGGCGGCAGCAGCAGCAGCAGGCGGAGGGAGGGGCGGGAGGGGCAGAGGCAAGGGGCAGGGGGCGAGGAGUAAGAAGCAGGGGGGCAGGCAGCACGGCGCGGAGGGGGAGCAGGGCCGGGCGUGGGCGCAUGGCGAGCUCGGGAAGGAGGAGGAGGAGGAGGAGCAGCGGCAUGGCGCCGGGGAGGAGGAGGGGGAGGUGGACGAGGAGGCGUUGGCGGAGCGGCUGCGGCGGCUGCAGGUGGCGGCGGCGGCGGCGGCGCGGCUGGCGGCGCAGCGGGAGGAGGCGGAGCGCGCGCGGCACCUGCGGCCGGAGCAGCUGCGGGAGUAUGCGGGUGUGCAGGCACGACACGCGGCGGUGCUGGCGCGGCAGCAGGCGGCGGGCGGGCUGAUUGAGCAGGCGAGCUACUCCAUCAGCGGGUGGACGCAGGGGCCCGCCGAGCAGCCGCCGCCGCCGCAGCAGCAGCAGCAACCGCAGCCGUCGUUGCCGGAGCAGGUGCAGGCACUACAUUCGCAGAGGCAGCAGCAGCAGCAGCAGCAGCAGCGACAACAGCAGUUGGGAGGGUCUGGGGCGUCGUCGUCGGGGCAGCAUGAGAAGCCAGGCGGCGGUGCUGGCGGCGGCCGGCACGGGCAGGGGAGAGGGAGAGGCGGCGGCGAGCCUGGACGGGGCCGACACGGCGGCGGUCGCGGCGGCGCUGACAGACAUGGAGGCGGCGGCGGCGGCGGAGGCAACGUUGAGGGUGGCGGCGGCGGAGGGGGCGGGGGCGGUGAGGGUGGUGGCGGGGGCGGAGGCGGCGGAGGAGGCGGCGGAGGCGCGCGUGUCAGUGCCGGUACGGCAGGUGCAAAUGGCGAGCAGGCUGCGGGCGGUGGGGAGCAGCACGAUAGGGCCGACAGGCGGCGGCGCGGCGGGGGCGGCCGGGGAGGCGGCGAAGGCCGCGGUACGGGCGGCGCUGGCGGGAGAGGCGGUGGCAGUGGCGGCGGCGGCGGAGACGGCCGGCAGCGGCAGGGCUCGGCGCAGGGCUCGCAGCCGCAGUCCCAUGAGGAUGGGGCGGAUGCAACAGCCGCAGCCGGCAGGGCGGUGGCCGCGGCGGCGACAGCGGCAUCUGCAGCGGCGGCGACGGCUAUGGCUGCGAUCACGCCCCCCUCUGCCGGAGCUAGCGCGCAGCUGCGCUCGGGUGGCGGCGGCCGGGAUGGAAAAGCCGGGGGCCGCGGCCGGGAGGCUGGCGGCGGCGGUGGCGGUCGUGGGGAAGGUGGCGGCCGGGGACGGGGGCGGGCCGAGCAGAGCAAGGUCGAGCUGCAGGCGGCAGUAGGCCACGUGAAUGGCAGCGCAGCGGAGGCGCUCGGUGCGGGGCGUGGAGGUGGCGGCGGCGGUCAUGGUCAUGGUGGCAGGGGUGACGGUUUUCGGGGUGGGAGAGGCCGUGGCGGCGGCGGCGGCGGCGGCGGUGGAGGCGGACGGGGUGAUGGUGGGGCUGUGGGACAGUGACACGAGGGGAUGCCGCACCAGCACACGAGGGGGCGCUUGUUGACGUUUUUUACAACGGGUCAUGUUCCUUAUGCAGCUGGGACAAUCUUGCAACUGCUUGCCAUCGGAGACGCGAGGCGACGCAGCGAAGAUGCACGCGUGUGUUCCUGUAACACGCACUCGACCGCUUCCCGUUACCGCUGCAUCGCUGAUGCGGCUUGGCUGAGACUGUGAGAGUUGGAAGCCCUGCAGCUCCCUGUGAUCGACACCAGGCAUGGUAACUGGUGAUGAGAGCAUGUUACACCGUCCUACCGGGGGUGACGUGCACAAAUUGUAAGCAGCAGUGCGCUGGUGCCGCAGUCGGCCCGCCCGAGCGCCAGAUCGCAGCGGCCCCGUGGCGUGUGUGAUCCCCACACUCCACAGCUCGUUGCACACAGAGCAGCACACGGCGCAACCGGCGCCGCGCUGCACUGCCGCCUGCACAUCCGUCUCGCGGUGUCGCGUCCGACAAAUCUUCGAUGUAACCCUACCGUAUAUCAAAUCCCGUCACGUACGUUCCUGACAUGUCUUCAUGUCCGCUGCGCACCAAAGUACAAACCGACCACUCGACCAGCAAACCGCACACGCAUACACCGUGGCCCGAGCCUGCAGCCCCGCUCUCUCCUUACUCCAGGCUGAGGCGCGGCCGGUCCCUACCAUUCCGGGCACUCAAAACGCUUCCAACAGACUCCAAUACCGUAACCGGACGCACUACAAAAGUCAAUGCUCACUCUAAUGCGCAACUCCAUUAUUUGUCCAUGCCUUGGCUCCUGUUUCUGUCGCUUGGGCGCUCUGCCGCAAAGGCAUAGUUAGUGCCACCGUCCCACGGAGGGAUCCUCCCGCGCCCUCACCUGGUCAGCUGCGCUGACGACGGCUGACAAGCGGUGCGAACAACCGGGGUCCCACGACACACCCGUGGAGCAAACCGCCAAAACAACCGAAUUCCAACAGCAGAGAUAACAGCAUAAGACAUCUCAAACUGAACAACACACCACGCUCAAUCUCUCCGUUACCUUCGCUGCAUUGCAUUCUCCCUCAUGCGACUGACCGGCGUGCUCGUCGACCAACACAGCCAACCGUAAACUGUUUGCACCGCACUCACGUAAGCGGGAUCACGUGGGCACACCUGCACGUGCAAUAAGCCCCAGAAUACAUGAAGGCAAAAUCCGUUUCCGUCCGAACGCACCGGGCACGCGCACACACACUCCCACAACGCAUGCGUGACGCAACCGUGCAAGCAGGCGCCGCUUUAGCGUCAGUGACCAUCCCGCGACCAGCGCCCUGCAAACACAAUGGAGCUCUUCCUGCUUGCGCUGCCACUACCCGUGCCUCCACCACCCCAGCACAUACACUCUCUUCCUUGCUGCCCUCGCAGUCCGCCCCGCCAGGCGUCACAACCCUCACCCGGCGCCUGAUCAGACGCGCCGCCCCAAAAUAUUUUUGAGCCAGUUGGAGCGUGCUGGCGCGGCAAACCGCUUCACCACCACGCAUAUGCGCGCGCGCGCAAGCCAAGUCGCACAUCCAAAUACCUUAGCAACACUCUCAAGUAUAGUACGCAGGCGCGUCACACUCGUAUACCUAUGCCCUCCGCUCAUCCUUCAACCCCUACCCCCAUGGCACUCCACGCUUUCCUCCAGGUCCCCCGCAACACCCGUGCACCCGCGGCGACUCUUCCGCCCCUCGUCCCAGCCAUGCGCGCUUGUUCCCCAAAGGAGAUUUAACGACGCCAGGUGCGGUUUCCCCGCCCCUGCGCCGUGUGCUUGUUCCCCACAGGGGCUCUAAGACACGAGCACGCGGUCCGCCCAGCUCAGCAGCAGCUGGCGGCCCAGCGACGGCGCGUCGCGCACCACCUCCGUCACCAGCUUCUGGGGGUUGAUGUCGUUCUGCGGCGGGGCGGCGGCGGGGCGGGCGAGAGGGAGAGCGCGGGCGGGGAGGCGCGUCAGGCAAGGAGCCCGCUGGACACGGCAAGCAGCAGGUCGCGUAGGCCGUGAUACGGUGUUGCUAGGGCAGGCUAGCGUUUAGGAGGAUGUCAAGGCGAGCGCCUGUCCGCGUCUGUCUGCGCCUCCCCCACGCGUUUCCCCUGCUCCUCCUUUCCCUGCCGCAUAUAAACUCACAUGUGCACACCCUCUCUCUAACACAAACACAAACACAAACACACACACAAACACACACAGUCUGCGCCUCCCCCACGCGUUUCCUCUGCUCUUCCUCCUAUACACACAUACACUCACUCUCUCUACAACACACACGCACAAAUACACACACACACACACACACACACGCACAUGCACACGCACACGCACACGCGCACCUGCACCAGGCGCAGCAGGUUGAGCACCUCGCUGAUGUGCAGCUUGUUGUCCUCCGUCAGGGCCAGCAUCAGCUGAGGGGGGGAGGAGCACGGGUGCGGGUGCGGGUUGCGAAGAUUGGUACAGAGAAGGGUGGCGAAGGGGGUGCGGGUUGGGAUGCGGGCUGGAGGGCGGGGCAGCUCAGCCAGCCGAUGGAGGUGAUUUGAACGCUGAAGGGGGAGGUUCAGAGAGGUUGCAGGGCUCAUUAUAGAGCGGUGCCCGUCACCAUUUGGCAUGGAAUACCCACUGUGUGCCGGUGUGGUCCACAGUCUCCGAACCCCCUUGCUGACGUGUUUAAUCCCAACAAAAACUCCAAAAACUGGUGCAAACACCCCUCCCCCUUCAACCUUGUGAUCCAACCACUCCAUCCACCAUGAAUGGUUGUGCCCCUCCCUCCCCCCCAAAAAACACAACGCCUCACCCACGCCCACCCCACCUGCGUCCGCAGCCGGUCGUCCAGCAGCAGCACCCGCAGCGCGUCCUUGGCCGUGUCGCUCAGGUCCAGCCCGCCCGCCGCGUCCGGGCCGUUGGAGGCGCGGCCGCCGCUGGCGCCCUCCUUGGCCAGCGCCAGCAGGUUCUCCAGCCGCUUCCAUUGGAACUUGCCGUCCUGGAAGAGCACCUGUGUGUGGGGAGGGGCGUGGGGGAGGGGGUUACAUGCAUUAAGUUUACGAAGUGAAGUCGUAGCCAGGUACAAAGAGGGGGAGGCGGUUAACGUUGAACCAAUCCCGUAAGGAAACACUCGCGCGGCGUGGGGAGGAGGGGUUACAUUCAAGCUUAGCUCAGGAAUUGGCAGUCGGUACGGUAGGCAAUCGUGGGUGAACAGCAAUAAGGAGGGGGGUUUUACUUUUACAAAAAUUAUUUAAGCAGAUGGGAAAGAGAUUUUGUUUCUGUGUUUAGCGAUGCACAUGGGUGGUUUAAGUAUGUGCGCAUGGCGAACACAGUGCUGUGGAGCAGGGGGCCGCAGUCAGGGGGGGGCUGGUAGCCAACACGUCCAUACACACGCACACGCACACGCACACGCCCCCACCACACGCUCCUACCACAUGCUCCCAACACAUUCGCCCACACGCACCUGGAACAGGCGCUCCCGCAGCGCGGGGUCCUCGUCCGUCAGCAGGCGCCGCGCGAUGUAGGGGUACGCCACCUGGGUGGGGUGAUGGGGUGCCAUGCAUGAUCAAUGAAGACGACAAGAUACAUGAUAAGUUUGGUCGUUGCAGCAGGUCGAUUGUUGGCGUUGGGGUGCGGCAGGGUGCGGUAUGGUUCGGCAGUGCGGAGCGCGUUACAAGGACGCCCAGGGCUGGGCGGGGGUAGCAGUGGCAGUGCGGUCAGCGUGGUUCAGGGCCCCUGCCACCACAGCCCGCCGUGCCCCGCCUCGCCCCUCCCACACAUAUACACGCGCACACACGCCGGCCGCUCACCUCCAGGAAGUGGAACUCGGGCUUGAGCGUCAUGCAGAUGCCCUCCUGCGGGCCACCAAGCAAAGGGGGCGGAGAGGAACCAUUGGUGAGAUGGUGGUGAGGUGGUGGGGGAGGCCAGCACGCGAUGGGAAGGUGAACGGAGGCGGGGCUGAGGUGUCGGUUUGGGUGGUGGGGACUGUUUGGGUCACGAGGGAAGCCCGUGCGCGAUGCCGGGUGGGGGCAGUUGAGGCCACGGCGGCGGCGUUUGAGGCAUGUGUAGCCGUCUGCAAGGCAGUUGCUGACCGUGCGCGCGCCCGUGCGCCCGUGAGUCCACUCUAAGAUAGGAAGCCCUAAGUUGGAAGUGCCGCACCACACCACGUUGCACCGCCCAGAGCCGCGCCGCACUGCAUCGCGCCCGGUGCCACGCACCACCCACCACCCGCGCGCACCUGCGUGAGCAGCGAGCGGAUGACGAGCGAGUAGCGCUCGGGGAUGCGAAUGGGGUACUGGUAGACCAGCUCGUUGAACUUGGAGGUGACGGUGCGGAAGUUGAAGUCGCUCAGCUGCUGGCCCUUGGAGUCGGCCCAGAUCUUCUCCAGCGCGGGCACGAUGGGCGUGAUGUCCGUGCCUGUGUGGUGGGAAAGGCAAAGCAGAACGGCGGGGGUUUACAUUCAUGAUUGAUUGAUAAAGAGCGAAAGGGGGGUUGUAAGUACCCGACCAAACUACAGGGGCUACAGGUACAUGUAGUUAGGUGCAUUUGUAGUUCUUAGGCUUUAAUGAACAGGCGCACGUCGGGGACAGGGGGAUCGCCCCCCAUCCGACCCAUCCCCAACGCUUUCCCCAAACAAGCCCCCUCCCUGCCCAGUGCGCUCACCCGGCGCCAGGAAGCCCAGCUUGAUGAAGUCCUCAGCCAUGGCCCUGCGCGGAUUGUCGGAGCGACCAACAGGCGUGACUUCUAACACAUGAGAGUGGGGGCCGCGGCGCACAAGUUUGUGGCGUACAAACAUGCCAGUCAAGCUGUGCAAGUAGAGAGCCCUGGCCGUGUCACAAGCUCGCCGCCCGCAGCACGCAGCCCCGUCCCAUCCUCCAGCCUCCACGCCCCCACCCUCACACACCCCGCUGCCGCCCCCCCAGUGCAUCCUGUACCGCUUUUCCAAACAUCCUUGCACCCCCCCGUAUGCUACUGUACCUGCCUACGCCUUCACUUCUUAAUUAAUCAUGAAUGUAACCCCCCCCCGCCCGACCCCACCUGUAGUCCUCGUUCACGGCGUGCACCACCGCAUCAAUGAGCACGGCCUUGUUGCGCGCGCUCAGCUGCGCCACGUUGCCAAAGUCCACGUAGGCGAUGCGACCGUCGCGCAGGCAGAAUAUGUUGCCGGGGUGCGGGUCGCCGUGGAACAGGCCGAACUGGCAGGGGAGGGAAAAGGAAGGAAGGGGGUUGCACCCGAAGAGUAAUCGAGAAGUGAAGGCGUAGCCAGAGGGAGGAGGGAGGAGGGAGGGAGGGCAAUUUGCGUGUCGGGAGUGUGUUGUUUGAGAAAGAUGGUCGCUCCCCGUGGCCGACCCCCGUGUCAAUCCACACUGCCAUCCCCCUCCUUCCCCACCUUCUCCUGCCCCCUUCGAACGAGCUUUACUUGCGAUUAGCUUAUACCAAACCCCAUCCUGCCCUUCGUUCGUUUGCACCGGAUUCGGUGUAAUUUGGGCUGGUUGCUAAAACCCUUCCCUUCCUCCGUUCCUAUCCGCCCACCUCCAGCAGCUGCCUCAGGCCGCUGACCACGCCGCACUUGAUAAAGUCGUCCACGCGCACGCCGCUGCUGCGGAUGGAGUCGGGCGCGGUGCAGCGGAUGCCGUCGAUCCACUCCAUCACCAGCAUCUUGGUGCCGCACAGGUCGGGGCGCACCCAGGGGAUCUUGACGGUGGGAUCGUCCCUGUCGGCGCAAGCGUGUGUGUGUGUAUGUGUGUGUGUGGGGGGGGUGCAUUCAUGGCUAGCUAAGGAAGUGGCAGAUGGCAGGCGAUCUUGGGGAAACAGCAAUCGGGGGUGGGGGCGAGGGGACGGGAGGCAUGUACGGGUUUGAGGCUGAGGACUGGGCAUGUGGUUGCCGACAGCGUAUGACGGAGUGUCUCCGGAGCGAAGGAAGCGUCCGCCGCUCUGGCGCAGUCCCAUCACACGACACACACGCCGCCGCCCCCAGCACGCACACGUGCACGCACACGCGCACACCCUUUCCCUUUCUGUGCUCUCUGAUACACACACGCACGCGCACACACACCUGAAGUUGCGCUCGAACUCCUCAAUGUUCUUGGCCUCCUGCGGGGUUGCAAAGGGUGCAGUCACACAUAGCUUGUCAACCGCCCGCCCCACACUCCUUCCAUGUGGUCCCCCCCUCAACGCCCCAUCUUCCAUGGACGUGCAAAACCCUCCCACACAAAGAGCCCACUCUCGCUCCCACCCCCCGUGCCCCGUCCCCCGUGCGUCCCCCGUCUCCCGCCCCGUCUCCCAUCCCCCGUCCUGUCCCCAUCCCCCGCCCUGCCCCGCCCCCCCCCAUCCCAUGCAAUCUCCUUCGCUACAUUUCUCUGUGCCAUCUUUGCAAACCCCCAUCCCGCCCCGCUGCCCCUCCCCCCUCCCCCCGCCCCCCCCCGCUGCCCCGCCCCCGCGCCCCACACACCUGCGUGUAGUCCAGCUCCUCCAGCAGCUUCUCGCCGAACUCGUCCACAAUGAGCUGCGCGUCGCAGCCCAGGCGCUUGCGCGACAGCGCGUUGAACAGGCCGCCGCAGGUGCGGAAGAUGUAGAGGUCGCGCAGGAUGGUGGGCUCCACGCCCGGCCGCUGCACCUUGAUGGCCACCUCCUCGCCCGUGUCGCGAAGGACGGCCUUGUACACCUGGGGAUUUGCAAGGAUUGGUACAGAGAAAUGUAGCGAAGUAGACAGCCGGUGAGGUGUUGCGCGUACCGAUGACCGACGGCGUCCACAGGUCCAGGGGGGUUGGGUGGGGAGGGGAGAUGUUGCAUUCAUGACUACUAUCAAAGUGAAGGCGUAGCCAGGAAUCCGUGAAGUCCAGCAGGGGUGGGUUAUGGGUUCCGCAAGUCAAGUAGGCCGUGUGUUGACAAUCCCCCUACAUUCCCGUGCGUCUCAACGCCCACCUCCCCACACCCGCCCGCCCCCUCUCCCCUUCCGUUCUUUCCCCUCCGUGCCCCCCCUUUCCCGACACUGCGCCCCACUGCCCCUACGCCCCUACCAUCGUUGAUACACACCGCCCCAGCGCCCCACUGCCCCCCUCCCGAGUCACCCACGCACCUGCCCCAGCGACGCCGCCGCCACGGGCCGCUCGCUGAUGGAGCUGAACACCUCCUCCAGCCGCCGCCCUAGCUGCUCCUCCAUCAUGGCAAACGCCACGGCGUCGGGGAAGGGCGGCACGUCGUCCUGGCGGGGAGAUGAGGUGAAAGGGUGGCGGUGGGGUUGGGGUUGGGGUUGGGAUUGGGGUUCCAUGCAUGAGUAAGUAAGGCGAGAUGAUGUUGACAGGUGGGAUUCGGGGUUGGGUUUGGGCAUUGGUGCGGGAGGUCGGUGCGUGAAUAAGAAGAAAUGGGUCUGAUCACACACGACCCGACAGACCGCCCCAAACACUCCCCUCUCCUGCGGUGCAUUGCCAGCCCCUCGUUCCGUCUCGCCUGGCCAUGCGAACAGAAUACCGAGUCCGCUCACCCUCCGUGACACAUUUUCUCAUUCCCCUUCCCCUCGGCUGUUGCCGCUGCCCGGGCUCCAAUACAAAUACUCAACACUGACUUCGCCCCUCUCUCCUCCCUCUCUCCCUUUCCCCGCUCCCCCCAACACCCCCCCCCCGCGCUCCCUUCCCCCUCACCUGCAGCACGCACAGCUCGUUCAUGUAGUCCUCCCGCACGAUGUCGGGCCGGUUGGCUAGCACCUGGCCCGCCUUGAUGAACGAGGGGCCCAGCACAGUCAGCAGCUCGCUGCGCGCGGGGAGGAGCGAGGAGCGAGGAGCGAGAAGGCCGGAGGGCGGAAUAAGAAGAAGCGGCAGGGCAGCAGGGCGCCGGAGCGGGCGGCAUGCGCCGCGGCGGCAACACAGUCCUCGGUCGCGCCGGCCACUCGUCAUUGGCCCGCGCCGUGCCAACUCCCCCCCUCCCCCCCGCUACACGUGAGCGAGGUCGGCCCCGCUGAGCCGCUGCCCACUCGUCCCCAGUCCGCAUCCUCCCCUCCCGGUCCCCCAAGCCCCCUGUCGUCCCCAACUCCCCGUCCCCCAGUCCCCACGUCAAAGUGGCCACCCGCUGGCCCCUGCCGCCUGCCUCCAAGCCCAAGCCCUCCAGAGCCCGUCCCGUCCCGCUCCGCACCGGGAUGCAAACCACCUGCCCCCAUUUACACCCCCCCAAAGACUUACAAUCCCUCGCCUUCCCAACCGGCCAGCCCGGCGCCCCCGCGCUUCCCCUCCACGCCUCCCCUCUACGCGCCUGCCCCUCCACGCCUCUCCCCCACUCCUCCCCUCCACGCCUCCCCUCCACGCUUUCCCUCCGUGCCUCUCCUCCACGCCUCCCCUCCAAGCCUCUCCACCACUGCGCCCCCCCCACGGUCCACCCGCAUUCGGGUCGGCUGCUCACCGCAGCUCCGCCGCCCGCAGGCGCACGCGCUCCGGCGUGUCCUCGUGCCCCAUGAGCCUGUCCGCGUACAGCGUGGCGGUGAACCAGCUGACGCGCGCAGUGAUCUCCGCGAUACGCAGCUGCGGAGCAAAGGUGGGAAGAUAGGUGGGUGGGUAAGUGGGUAGGGAGGGAGGGAGGUCGCGUCAGUACCGGUAAGGAUGGAGGAUGGGAGGGCAGGGGCAGAGGCGUCUGGGUUCACGGUAACCAAGUUGGGUCGGGGGUCGGAAGUGGACCACGGCAGCGUAACCCCAAACAUCCCUUGCAAAGACCACCGAGACAUACAUCGGCGCCACAGAAUGAUGCCCCUUCUAUGCCUCAGCGGCGAGCGUGGCUGGUCAAGAACCUACCUCAGCCCUCCACCACCCUCCUCCCGCUUUAGGCUGAUGCGCCCGUCCCAAGGCCCGUCCCCGGGCGGCCCCCUGCGUACCGAUCCCAGCUCUACAGGACCAGCCAUUACACCCUGCGCCUUGUCUGCCACAUUGCUCACCGCAACAAGCGCUGCAUCGCCGGGCCCACGCAGCACGCGGCUCUUCACGUAGUCGGGGGAGUACUUGCUGAUAAUGUUGCAGAUGUCCUUCUCCAUUUCCAGGGGAUUGUCAAUGCCGCCCAGCGGCCGCAGACGGGUGCUGUGCAUAUGAUAGCACAGCGAGGGGGGCGGUGGGGACAACAGGCCCAGAAAAUGCUGACUGUGCCGUGCGUGUGGUUGGUUGCGGGCGGGACACGCGUGUUGAGCUUGACCGUCCGCCGGCGCGUGGGGCGACCACUUCCCAAAGGUGGGUCCGUGGGACGCUUUUUAAUAACUUUUGCGCGGAUUUUUCACGCGUUCGCGGUGCGCCCAAAGCGACGAUGGCACACUCAGCUUUUCCCAAAAGCUCACCUCGGGGCAAGCGCUGUUGCAGCACGCGCAGGUGAUAUCGUUGUCACUGCUGCCUGGCAGCGCAGGCCUACAGCACGACCACGGCUUUGGAUGGACCCGCCCAGCAUGGCCCCUAUCCGGGCGUCCCUUCGCCCGAGAGCGCGCUGCUGAUGCAGCUGCUGCAUUCUAUAUUAUCACUCUAACUGCGCUCCGCGGUCAGCAGGGUCGCUCUGUUUUUGGUGCGCAGAAGAAAGGGCUUUCCACCAACGGAACUGCAAGUAAAUAUUCUUUGCAAUAGAAGGCGCCGUCUAGUCAGCGAAGAACACGGUGGUAUGACGCUAGGGUGGAGCGUAUCCCUGAACUCCAUUCAGAGCGAGUGGCGUGGAGGCCGCAUGAAACGCAGUGCCGAUGUUCUUGAGACGCGCAGCGCCACAUACAGCGUAUACACCCAAAUGGGCCCACUCCACUGCUAGCUCUACAGUCGGGCCUAUACACCGAAGCUGCGGUUCCGCUCGAAAGAAUUGCAAAAUGCGCUCAGUGGCCGCCAACGUCCCGCAGAGCGCACCCCUGUCGGUGCGCGAGCGGAUUCUCUCAUCCUUUCACUGCUCACCCAGCACUUCUGGUCGCGCAUGCUGCCCUGCUCACGGCUUGCCGGCGGCUCGCCGGCAGUCCACAACAUGCGCAGCCUCAAAGGCAGCCAAGAGCGGCAAGUCGGGUGGCGGCCAGGGCUUCAAGGGCUUCGGCGAGGCUCCCAAGCCCGCUCCGCAGCAGCAGAAGCGCGACCUGAGCUUCGAACGGGACUCCGAUGAGGAGCUCGUCGGUCCCGCUGCCGCCGCCGCGCAACAGCUCGGCGACGAGGAUUACAACGAAAUCCGGCUGAAACCCGCCUACCAGAUGUAUGUCGACGCCGGCUUCAAGGCGCAGCGCUAUAUCGCACCGUCGCUGGCGCUCACGCGUCCGGAAGGCAAGUAGUGCCACCACGGCGUUGGCACGGAAGGGGGCGUGCGUUGGCCGUUGUUGGGCUUGAGAGGGACCGUGCUCCGUUGGGCUGGCGGGUCGCCACAGCGGAGUGCUAUAGCGCAUGUACGGGAUUCUGCAGCCCUGGGCUUUGCAACUCGGAAUGGUUGGGUUGGGCAGGGGUAGCGGGGCUGCAGCGGUUUGUGCCGUCGACACGCGGUGGUUACAGCAGGCACACCUUGCAGAACCUACCAAGGAGAGCCUCUAGACCCACCGCAUAUCAAUCACCUGGGCACCCGAUACGGGCCAGCAGCUAUCGACCUGCUGAGCACUGUAACUGAAGCAUCGGGGAACACCUUCUGCGCUGUGACGCGGCACUCGGGCCGGGGGGCGUGCUGCGGGCUGACUCCAUCUGGGUUGGGUUCUGUCAUUAGGUGGAAGCUACGACAUGCAAUUACACGACAUCACACUAUGCUUGUUUCUGUUUGCCGGUAGACGCAAGUGCGCAGCACGCGGUGGUUACAGCAGGCACACCUUGCAGAACCUACCAAGGAGAGCCUCUAGACCCACCGCAUAUCAACCACCUGGGCACCCGAUACGGGCCAGCAGCUAUCGACCUGCUGAGCACUGUAACUGAAGCAUCGGGGAACACUCCACACCUUUUUCACUUCGCAACCUCCGCAACCCUCCAGCCCACAUGAAACCUGCUGCUAACCCCCUCCCCCCUCAUCACCUAUCCACCUUCCGCUACCCCGCAGGCGAGCCGCUCGCGCAGCUGGCCGCCGGCGGCGCCACUCUGCCCGGCGACCUGCUGCUGGUCACGCCGGCGCUGGCGUUCGUGGAGGGCGGCUUCAACGAGCUGCCGGAGCUGGAGGACCUGCAUGCAGCCAUGAUGGAGGACGGGCCCACGCCCGCACAACGCCGAGUCAUGGACGUGCUGGAGGGGCUGCGACCCGACCCCACGGCGGCGGCGGCCGCCGGCUCCGCCGGCGCCGCAGCGGCGCCUACGGCGCCGCUGCCCUCCCUCUCCACGCUCGACGCCAAGUUCUGGUCGGGGCGCGGCAAGGACGCCAGCGCGCCGGCCUUCAGCUCCAAGCGGCUGAUGGGGCUGCUGGGCCGCACCGCCGCCUCGUUCGACAGCCAGGACCCCGCCUCCAUGCAGGCGCGGCACCAGAAGCCGGUGGGCUUCGUGUCGCUGUGGCCCGAGUACGCGCUGCUGGGCCACAGCUGCGUGCCCAACACCUCGGCCCUGGUGGUGGGGGACCGGCUGUUCAUGCACGCUACCGACGAGCUGGCCAAGGGCGCGCCGCUGACCCGCAACAUGAUCGGCACCGCCAUCACAUCCCCGCUGUCGGUUCGCCAGGCCGCCGUUGCUGAGGCCAUGUCCGACCUGCUCCCCGCCCCCUCCGCCACUUCCUCCGCCUCCGCCUCCACCUCCUCCGCCUCCACCUCCUCCGCCUCCGCCUCCACUUCCUCCGCCUCUUCCUCAGCACCCGUGCCGGCUUCGGUAACCGCCGAGGAGGGCGGCAUCCUUGCGGCGAGCGAGGCACUGCUCACGUCGUGCCGCUGCCGGCGCUGCCAGCUGGAGGCCAGCGUGUCGGAGUCGUUGCGCGACACGCUGGAGUCGGCGUUCGCCUGGUACGAGCAGGAGGCUACCGCCACCUUCUCCCGCGCCAACGAGGAGGAGGACAUGUCGCUGCUGCGCGGGCUGCUGGCAGAGGCCGAGACCAUCGUGGCUGAGGUGGAGGAGGCGGUGCAGGGCGAGCCGGGGCUGGACGACGAGCAGCAGGACUGGAUCCGGGCGUCGGUGUACGACGUGUACGACAUGCUCGUCACGCUGGACGAGCUGGUCAACGCCGACGGCGCCGACCUGGAGUACCUACAGACCUGCCUGCAGCUCAUCCGCGUGUUCGGGCCCGGCAGCGACAGCCACUUUGAGGUGGCGCUCAAGCACGAGAGCCUGCGCGUGCACCGGUGAGGCGGGGGGCUAGGGAGGACGGAUGGGGAGGGCUCUCGGAGGGCUGGGGAAGGCUUAAAGGUUUCAAUCUUUGUGUGCACCGGGACUGUAUAUCUGUGCACCGUGCCUGCGCCUACCGCGCCUGCACCAAAUCCCAUGUCCGCUCCUGACCCUUCCUUCCCAAUGCCAAACCAUUUUCAACCCACCCAACCCCUCAGGCUGGAGACGUUCAGCGAGAUGCUCAAGCGCGAGGGCCGCGGCCGCAAGAAGGCCAUCAGCGCCCUGGACCGCAAGAAGCUCAAGGCGCUCAAGGACGGCGCCGACCUCGCCGCUGAGUUCCGCAUCGAGUCGGUCAUCCUGCGCUACGGCUACGUGACGGAGCAAAUCCUGCAGCAGCUCACCGAGGGGCUGGAGACGUACAUGGAGGGGCUGGAGCAGAUGAGCGUCAUGCAGGCGCAGGUGGGGGCGGGCUCUUGUGUUUGUGUGCGUGUGUGUGUGUGUGUGGGGGGUUAACUUUGAACCAAUCCUGUAAGGAAACAGUCGCGCUGCAAGGAGAAACUGCAGCCGCAUAUGCGAGCUGUGGUACAUCACCAUAGGUAGUCGGGCGGGCUUGGGCAGCGUAGCAGCAGGUUGAAGGAGCAGUCCAGAGUGUGUCGGGGGGUUUGGGUGUGGUUGGUUCGUGUGUGUGGGGGUUACAUUCAUGAUUAGUUAAGGAAGUGGUAGACGGUAGACCAUCUUGCGGAACAUGAAGCGUUACCGACGAUGUCGACCAGCUCCUGGCUCCAGCCCGAGCUCCAGCUCCAGCUCCAGCGCGUAGACCCUCCGAAGUAGUGUUCCCGUUUGAUAUAAAGCUGCUGCAUAGCCUGACACGACCUAAGUUCGCGGCGGCACGGCGACACUACUACGCGCGACUAGUCGCGAUCUACGGACGCUCGCUGCCCUAAUAGCUUUCCUACAUACCCCGGCGUGUACUCACCUGCGGCGUGGCAUUGGAACCCACGCCGCGUGACGUCCAGACAUCCAUGCAUAGCAAGAAACGGGAGGGCGAGGUGAGAGGCAAAAGGCAAAAGCAAAAGAACCUAAAUGCUAUGGCCGCCGCGACGGGAAUGGACGCGCGCAAACGCUAAGUAGGCCACGGAAUCGGACCCAUGCUGGCAUGGGGAGGGGGACUAGGGGCUGCGUGGCGGGGCUCCUAAGAGCUCCCACCACCACGCAACUCUCCGGGCCACGGGGUGGUGGCCCAGAGAGUCGCAGGUGGGUGGGGUGCCCUGCUAUCCUUUGCCGCGUGGACGGUGUGUUUUCCCUGGAAACCCGGCGGCCGUCCUGUUGGGGGCGGCAGUGAACGGCACUCGGCAGCACAGGCACAGGCAUAGGCACAGGCACAAGCACAGGCGCUGGACGGUACGGAACAUGUAGUCGGUCUUGAUGUCGGCGCCAUUACUAUGAUAUGGAUGGUUUCGUGCGCACCAGCCGCUGUGCUCCGGAUAUCGGGCGGCAUCACCCGGCCCGACAUACGCAGAGCAGCAGCGGACUGGUGGUUCUUGGCUUGUGUGUGGGGGGGGGGUGCUUGUGUAUGGUUAGUUCGUGAGUGCGUAGAGGGGGUGUGGAGGCUGGGAGGGGUUACUGGUGUGAGGGCACGGGAGGGCGUGCGGGGCCGCGGGAGCGUCCAGCUUGCCUGCCAUUGCUGCCUCCCCUUCAACAUGUUCCGCCGUGCUCAAAAUUCUGACGACUCCACUCCACCCGCUGCCUCCCCCUCACCGGCGCAGGGCCUGACGGAGCUGACUCGCGAGAUGGAGGUGGACGGCGUGCGCGUGCAGAUUGUGGACAAGCUGGAGGUGGCGCCCGGCGGCGGCGCCGGCUCCCGCGCCAGCAGCACAGAGAUCAUCAACCACGACGGCAUGCAGCUGUCGGUGGUGGACGGGCCCGGCAGCGGCGGCGACGACGACAUUGAGGGCGAUGGCGGCGACCUGGUGGACGUGCAGGAGGGCGCGGGCGAGGAGCUGGAUCUGGAGGACCUGGAGGACCUGGAUCUGGGCGUGGAUCCGGAGGGCCGCGCGCCCAUUGACCUGGAGCUGGACGGCGACGUGGACAUGGAGGCGGUGCAGGCGGCCAUUGACGACGCGCUGGCGCAGGAGAUUGAGGCCAUUGAGAGGGAGGAGCGGGAGAAGCAGGCGCGGGGCAAGGGCGCCGACGCCAAGACGUAGUGUGGUGGCAGGUGCUGCGUAUUCAGGGCGUGUAUGUAAACUCGUGUGUGCUUGAUUGAUGCUUUGUUCGGCGCUGGUGUGACGGGGGCCGGGCUCUGUGGUGAGACUUAUAGGACGAGCGGGCCUAAGUUCGUUUCGUACGCACUACGCAGUUGACCCGCUGUCCCUUUCCACUGACUGGUCCCUGUGGCCCACCCCGGACUAACUUGCGCACAGAGCAGCACAUCCUCGAUUCACGAGUUCCAGUUUGGGGAAGCCUUCGCAGGCUGCUUUCGACGCACCAUGCUCUCCCCAGUCUGGACGAGUCCUGGUCGGAUUCAGUCCCUCACUCUGCUCACCAGAUCUCUUUGAACUCGAACAAAAUCGAAUGAGACAAAUGUUUGUAACGACGUGAGCAUGUUAUGACGGAACUUCCAAAUGAUACGUAAAGUACGCCCCAGUUUUUGCACGAGUUUCGCGCAAAUUCCCCGCCAGUUUCCGCUGAGUUUCCUGCGAGCCGCCCCUGCGCACCGCCUCCGCGUGCCCCCAGCGACUCUCGUGCACUCCAGCGAGUCCCACGCGCGCUCCGCGGCUACUCAUACUGUCAUACAACUCCUCAGCGCGGCGGCAGGGGCGGCUGGCGCCACCCUGCGAGGGUCCCAAUGUCAACUGUGUGAAAACCGUGUGCGCUCAGAGGCAGCUUGUGGAUGUGCGUGUGCGAUGGGACAGUUGUAAGGCAGGUGGUGAAGUCCCGUAGGGUGCAGCUGAUGCGUCUCGCUAAGUUUACAUGCAGCUCACACGCAGCUUCCCACACGGUGCGCGCACGACUAUGCACUCCCACUUGCACAGCGCGCCAACCACCAGCCUCCGCCGAGCUCUGCCGUACUCCACCGCAGCUUCCCACACGCCCCCCUGUACAACUACCAGCUCCCACCGUGUGUCAGUUAGGGUGUUGGUAGCUGCGAUGAUUGCCGCGCCGCACGCCGCACGUGCAAAGUACACGCAUUACCACUGCUGCUUGCUCCUCAUCCUGCAGAAAGUCUGGUAAUGCUGGCGCUGGUGUUGCCGGCAAGUCUGCGUACUCAAUGCUCCUCUACCGUACUUAAGGCCCAGUUCUCACCCACGCGGCCACACCCCAGCGGCACACACAUGCACCCUUCCCCUCAUGCACCUUCCCAUCUCGCACCUCCACUGGCCAGACGAGUAGACGACCUGUCAGCUCGCCCGCCUCCGCGCUCUACUCCUAUGUGCCGGUGCUCUUGCAGGCGGUAUCCUGAACCCCCGCUCCCGCAUGCGGGCCACCAGCUGCUCAAUGAAGGGGUCCAUGUCCUCAAACAGCGACUUUUAGGACUGGAGCGCGUCGCGCAGGUAGCGGGCGCGGGAAGACACGGUUAGGUACCUGCACAAGCAAGGGGGAGAAGCUGGCACGGUACCGUGGGAACAAACUGCACGCGCACACGCCGCACAGCAGGUGAGCAGGGCUCACCAGCACCCCAGCGGGAGACCAACAGACACUCCUAACUCACUUGACGGCGAAGGUCUGCGCCUCCCGGACAAUACGUAAGAUGUCUUGCGGGCGGACGGAGUCCGUGUGCCGCACCGCCUGUGAACUGCAUGCCACAAUAUUCAAUCGGGCAACUGGCUUGUGCGCAUGCAUGGGUGCAUUGGCGGGGGCGGGUGCUCUGCUGGACGAAGUAAGGAGGUCAGGGCCCCACAAGUACGGCGCGCACCUACCUGCAUCACGUCGUAGAUGUCCUCCAUGCCCAUCCCUCGUGAGGUCGUGUUCCAAAACGGCACGUAGUGCACAUUGGGCUGUAGCGACCUGCGUGCGGAAAAUAGAGGCAGGCACACGUGCACGCAGGGGGACCACAAGGAACACAGUGUGCAGUGGCGUACGCUUUAACACUGCUUGAUUUGCGCGCUAGGUCAAGGGGAAGAACAGCGGCCCUGUAGGCAAUAGCAGCAGCACCAGCAAGAGCCAAGCGGGGUUUUGCAAGCACGCACCGUGUGUAGUGGGCCAGGAAGGGCUGGUUCUGGUACAGCACCAGCGAAUUGGUGUGGAGGAGCUGCAUGCGGUGGUGAAGAGAUUAAAAUGAGGUGGCGUUCGUAGGGCUUAGGUACUGCGUGCCAUAUGUGUAUAUGUGUUGUAUAUAUGAUAUGUAUGUUAGAACGAAGAAACCGAGACACGAAGCAUGAACCGCUGUGUGCCGCCGUGAGUCAUCGACGUGCCUUAUGGCCUAACCGCUGUGCGUGUGUCCUGCUGCCUAGACGUUUCCCGGCACUCCUGUGCCUAGGCUUGUGGCGUUGAGGCACAGCGGUGGGGCUCUGGCGGGUUGAGGCUUGGCUAGGACUCACUGUGCGCGGAGUCACACGGACUUUGCCGGCGGGAGGGUUUGCAGCAAAGUCGGGGUUCACUAUAAGGACGGGUUUGUGCGUUACGCAUGCUUAUUGUGCGCUACGCAUGCGUCUGGGACUGGACGCAUGCGUGCCAGAACGCAUGAAGCAUGAGGGGCGGGGGGCCGGGUCGGGCGCACAGCCGUGCGUACAAGCACGCAUGCGGGCCGCAUGCAGGCGCAUGCGCACCAACCUGACGCAAGCACUAAGAGACGCACGUAUUCCUGUAAGUCACGACAUAGUCGUAGACAGCAAGCACGGCUCGCUCGCUCGUAGGGUCGCGUGAUCGCCGGACGCGGCACUCCAACACUUCAACAGCGUCAGACCCUGCUAUAUGAUGCAAUGUGUAUAUCAAAACGAACAGUAUAAGUAGGCUAGCAGGCCUUGCGAAGUAUUCACUCGGACAUAGUGCUAGACUUUUAGUCUUUAGACGGUCGGGCCUAAACGAGUGAACGCAUGUGUAUAUAUGGUAUGCUGUACUAUCUGGGCGUCGCACCAAGCAACCAGCAUGGAGGCUGCACCUGACAAGGCGGGUUGUGUGGCUGGCGUGUAGAGGGCUGGCCACUGCCGCUGCCGCGCACUGCUCGCAAGGCCGGGGACUGCGAGGCAGCUCAAGGUGUGCGUAGAGUGCGUAGGCGUGGUUGUUGCUGCGACAGUGCCUUUGUUAAGCAGCCGCGGCGGGGGUUAUGGUUAUGAGAUAGCACUGGCGUGGGACUGGGCGUGCACGAUGAAGGUCGCGGGCGGCGACGGCGCAACUGAGUGCAACGGUGGCACUGCGGUGGCGGCCCCCCACAGGCCAUGGCUGCCGUUGUCGCCAUUGCUAGCGUUGGACGCGUGCUGCCCCCCGCCGGCAUCAACCCCGCGGCUGCACCAUCAGCUGCGCCAUCGCAUCAGGCGACGAGACAGCACUGGCGUGGGGCUGGGCGUUUGUGAUUGGUGCCGCGGGCGGCGGUGGCGCCAGUGAGCGCAACGGCGGUGCUGCGGCGGUGGCCCCCCACAGGCCAUGGCUGCCGUUGUCGCCAGCGCUAACGUUGGACGCGUGCUGCCCCCACCCGGCGUCACCCCCGCGGCUGCACCAUCAGCUGCGCCAUCGCAUCAGGCGACGAGACAGCACUGGCGUGGGCCUGGGCGUUUGUGAUUGGUGCCGCGGGCGGCGGUGGCGCCAGUGAGCGCAACGGCGGUGCUGCGGCGGUGGCCCCCCACAUGCCAUGGCUGCCGUCGUCGCCAACGCUAACGUUGGACUCGUGCUGCCCCCCGCCGGCGUCACCCCCGCGGCUGCACCAUCAGCUGCGCCGUCGCAUCAGGCGACGAGACAGCACUGGCGUGGGGCUGGGUGUUUGGGAUUAGUGCCGCGGGCAGCGGCGUCGUGGGAGAGCGCAACGGCGGUGCUGCGACGGUGGCCCCCCACAUGCCAUGGCUGCCGUUGUCGCCAGCGCUAACGUUGGACGCGUGCUGCCCCCCGCCGGCGUAACCCCCGCGGCUGCACCAUCAGCUGCGCCAUCGCAUCAGGCGACGAGACAGCACUGGCGUGGGGCUGGGCGUUUGUGAUUGGUGCCGCGGGCGGCGGUGGCGCCAGUGAGCGCAACGGCGGUGCUGCGGCGGUGGCCCCCCACAGGCCAUGGCUGCCGUUGUCGCCAGCGCUAACGUUGGACGCGUGCUGCCCCCCGCCGGCGUCACCCCCGCGGCUGCACCAUCAGCUGCGCCGUCGCAUCAGGCGACGAGACAGCACUGGCGUGGGCCUGGGCGUAUGUGAUUGGUGCCGCGGGUGGCGUCGUCGUGGGAGAGCGCAACGGCGGUGCUGCGGCGGUGGCCCCCCACAUGCCAUGGCUGCCGUUGUCGCCAGCGCUAACGUUGGACUCGUGCUGCCCCCCGCCGGCGUAACCCCCGCGGCUGCACCAUCAGCUGCGCCGUUGCAUCAGGCGACGAGACAGCACUGGCGUGGGCCUGGGCGUUUGUGAUUGGUUCCGCGGGCGGCGGUGGCGCCAGUGAGCGCAACGGCGGUGCUGCGGCGGUGGCCCCCCACAGGCCACGGCUGCCAUCGUCGCCAUUGCUAGCGUUGGACGCGCGUUGCCCCCCGCCGGCGUCACCCCCGCGGCUGCACCAUCAGCUGCGCCAUCGCAUCAGGCGACGAGACAGCACUGGCGUGGGCCUGGGCGUUUGUGAUUGGGGCAGCGGGCGGCGGUGGCGCCAGUGAGCGCAACGGCGGUGCUGCGGCGGUGGCCCCCCACAGGCCAUGGCUUCCGUCGUCGCCAGCGCUAACGUUGGACGCGUGCUGCCCCCAGCCGGCGUCACCCCCGCGGCUGCAUCAUCAGCUGCGCCGUCGCAUCAGGCGACGAGACAGCACUGGCGUGGGCCUGGGCGUUUGUGAUUGGGGCAGCGGGCGGCGGUGGCGACAGUGAGCGCAAUGGCGGUGCUGCGGCGGUGGUCCCCCACAUGCCAUGGCUGCCGUUGUCGCCAUUGCUAGCGUUGGACGCGUGCUGCCCCCCGCCGGCGUCACCCCCGCGGCUGCACCAUCAGCUGCGCCGUUGCAUCAGGCGACGAGACAGCACUGGCGUGGGGCUGGGUGUUUGGGAUUGGUGCCGCGGGUGGCGUCGUCGUGGGAGAGCGCAACGGCGGUGCUGCGGCGGUGGCCCCCCACAGGCCAUGGCUGCCGUUGUCGCCAGCGCUAACGUUGGACGCGUGCUGCCCCCACCCGGCGUCACCCCCGCGGCUGCACCAUCAGCUGCGCCAUCGCAUCAGGCGACGAGACAGCACUGGCGUGGGCCUGGGCGUUUGUGAUUGGGGCAGCGGGCGGCGGUGGCGCCAGUGAGCGCAACGGCGGUGCUGCGGCGGUGGCCCCCCACAUGCCAUGGCUGCCGUCGUCGCCAACGCUAACGUUGGACUCGUGCUGCCCCCCGCCGGCGUCACCCCCGCGGCUGCACCAUCAGCUGCGCCGUCGCAUCAGGCGACGAGACAGCACUGGCGUGGGGCUGGGUGUUUGGGAUUAGUGCCGCGGGCAGCGGCGUCGUGGGAGAGCGCAACGGCGGUGCUGCGGCGGUGGCCCCCCACAUGCCAUGGCUGCCGUCGUCGCCAACGCUAACGUUGGACGCGUGCUGCCCCCCGCCGGCGUCACCCCCGCGGCUGCACCAUCAGCUGCGCCGUCGCAUCAGGCGACGAGACAGCACUGGCGUGGGGCUGGGUGCUUGGGAUUAGUGCCGCGGGCGGCGGUGGCGCCAGUGAGCGCAACGGCGGUGCUGCGGCGGUGGCCCCCCACAUGCCAUGGCUGCCGUCGUCGCCAGCGCUAACGUUGGACGCGCGUUGCCCCCCGCCGGCGUCACCCCCGCGGCUGCACCAUCAGCUGCGCCGUCGCAUCAGGCGACGAGACAGCACUGGCGUGGGCCUGGGCGUUUGACGUUGGGGCAGCGGGCUGGCCGCUGCCGCUACUCACAUUCCCGGGGACUGCGAGGUAGCUCAAGGCAGUGGAUAGGUGCAGUUGUGGCUGCGACGAUGCUUGUCCGCAGCAGCAGCCGCGGCAGGGGCUAUGGUCGCAGACGCCAUAUCACGGUGCUUUUAAGCGCCUCAAGUCCUGUGUUAUGACUUUGAGGAUUGCACAGCACCGAGCCCCGACCACAAAGCGUUUCCCCGGCUGUCCCGUUAAAGGCGCUAGGCACGAGCGGCGGUGCGUGUGCCUGAGAGCUUUACCCCGUAUCCAGCCCAGGGCAUAAGGUGUUCCCCCGGCUGUCCCUGAUAAGGCGUUGGGCGUGAGCGGCGGUGCGUGUGCCUGAGAGCUUUACCCCGUAUCCAGCCCAGGGCACAAGGCGUUCCCCCGGCUGUCCCUGAUAAGGCGUUGGGUGUGAGCGGCGGUGCGUGUGCCUGAGAGCUUUACCCCGUAUCCAGCCCAGGGCACAAGGCGUUCCCCCGGCUUUCCUUCAGACGGCGUUGGGCGUGAGCGGCGGUGAGAGCAAUGCCCCGUAUCCAGCCCCGAGCACAAGGUGUUCCCCCGGCUUUCUUUCAUACGGCGUUGGGCGUGAGCGGCGGUGCGUGUGCCUGAGAGCUUUACCCCGUAUCCAGCCCUGGGCAUAAUGUGUUCCCCCGGCUGUCCCUGAUAAGGCGUUGGGCGUGAGCGGUGGUGCGUGUGCCUGAGAGCUUUACCCCGUAUCCAGCCCAGGGCAAAAGGCGUUCCCCCGGCUGUCCCUGAUAAGGCGUUGGGCGUGAGCGGUGGUGCGUGUGCCUGAGAGCUUUACCCCGUAUCCAGCCCAGGGCACAAGGCGUUCCCCCGGCUUUCCUUCAGACGGCGUUGGGCGUGAGCGGCGGUGCGUGUGCCUGAGAGCUUUACCCCGUAUCCAGCCCAGGGCACAAGGCGUUCCCCCGGCUUUCCUUCAGACGGCGUUGGGCGUGAGCGGCGAUGCGUGUGCCUGAGAGCUUUACCCCGUAUCCAGCCCAGGGCACAAGGCGUUCCCCCGGCUUUCCUUCAGAUGGCGUUGGGCGUGAGCGGCGGUGCGUGUGCCUGAGAGCUUUACCCCGUAUCUAGCACGAGGCACAAUACGUUUUCCCGGCUUUUCCUGCUGCGGCACUGGGCGUGAGCGGCGGUGCGUGUGCCUGAGAGCAGUGCCCCGUAUCCAGCCCCGAGCACAAGGCGUUCCCCGGCUGUCGGCGUUGGGCAUCAGCUGAGGCGCGAGCGCAGAGAAGGCCCCGUGUGCGUUCAUAUUAAUCCCCCUUUCAACACCGCACAUGGCAAGACAAGCAAGUAUCAAGUAUGCGGCCAACCAAGUUUAAGUGUUGCAUGGGGCACUGCUUCCAAACUCUUUGCGGCACUUCCUUCUUUGCCAGUUCAAUUUAUAUAUACUGUAUCCUUCUAUGCAUAUCACACAUUACUAAAGACUACAGACACGUCAAGGUGUCAGUAUGUAGAGACCCGCAAACAGUUCUCUGCCACUCGGCAGAGGACGCCCUCGCCCUGCUAUGUUUGCUUUUAAGGCCCAGUCUCCACUAGUAACGCUAUUAGGCGCACAGGUGCGCCUUGCAGCGGCCAUAACGCUGGGUUGUUGCAGGGGUGGUGACGUCGUUGACCGAGCGCAAUAUUCAUCGCCCACCUUCAAUUCGUUCAGGUUCAGGCUCAACAAAAGCAUUUCAAAAGGCUACAGAGCCAUCACGCGUGGCGCAGGUGAGGCGGGGGUACCAUCCGCGCGACUUGGUUGCUAGCUUCCGAGGCUGUCAGCUGAGAGCAUGCGCAUGCUAAGGUGUCUGUAUAAUGGCACCGUACAAGCCUGUCAUCAGUUCAUGCUCAGUUCUCAGUCCUGGUACCCUCCCGCCCUCCCUCAGGACUCCGGCCGCACGAAGGGCCACCCGUGCGGACCACCCCUGGGUGGGCUAGACGUGGCGCACUCACACGUUAACCCCAACAGGCAAGUCUAUGUCCAGAUAAUAUUUCGCAAUUGCUGAAGUAAGCACUGCAUGAGUAGCGUGUCUGCAGCUGAACAUGGGGGGAAAGGUACCUUGCGUCUUACCCUCUGAUAUGCCUGGUUUUGUGGUUUGGUUCCUGACCGAAUCGUCCUGAACACUAUGCAGGCUUACGAAGGGCAGCACGGGUGUGGCUAGCUGUGGACUGGAGCGCUGGCACCGGCAGCAUGCGGAGUCUGCGGUGGCACUGUGCAGCAGGUCGGACGUUGUGGUUGAGGUCGUUGUGUGUUUGGCAAGACUUAGUAUGGGUCCACCUGUGCCGCUUAUGCCUUGGCGGGUGGCGUUUGGUUGUUCCGCGGAAGUGGCUACAUGCACAUCUGUGGCUAGCUACGGACUGGAGUGCCGGCACCGGCAGCAUGCAGAGUCUGCGGUAGCACUGUGCAGCAGGUCGGACGUUGUGGUUGUCGUUGUGUGUUUGGCAAGACUUUAGUAUGGGCACACCUCUGCCGCUUAUGCCUUGGCGGGUGGCAUUUGGUUGUUACCCGGAAGCGGCUACAUACGCAUCUGUAUUCAUGUUACGGUAGGGCACGUUCGGUGAGCGAGGAGGUCGAUGGGUGACAGGGCAUGUGGAGCGGGCAGACUUCCUUUCCAGGGUGUGCGAUGGCGGACUAAAAGCGUAAGGAGAGGCUGGUGGAUGGAGGCGGACUCACGCCUUCAGAGAAACAGGCCGAAUCCUCGUUUACACUGGACGCGCGGCACGUGCCGUUGCAUGAACUGUAACACAAAUGAGCAGUUGAGGGAAUUGGCUUCGUGUGCCCCACGUGUGCGUGCAUGCAUGCGGGUGGGAAGCGUGCAGUUGGGGGCAGCUGCUUGCGUUAGGUAACGCACAUGCGUCCCGCAUGCGCCAUGGCAUGCGUAGUACUUCACGCAACCGGCAUAUGUGCUUCAAGCAUGCGUAUGGCAUGCGUUCGAGACGCAUGCGUACAUCCAGAAAGAGUCGCUGCGGCCGCUAGCCAACACCAGCAUGCGUUAGGUAACGCAUGCUCUGGUAGCGCACGCAUGCGUAUGGGCGGGCACCGCAUGCGUACAGCACAUGCUUUUCACGCGUUAAGCAUGCGUUUGGGCCAUGCGGCACGCAUGCUAACGCAUGCUCUAACGCAUGGACCCGUCGUUAUAGUGGUUGGUGGAGUCAAGUUGGGCCCUGAUAGCAUGUGAUGGCUCGGCGUCUUCGGGUGCUGGGACUGUCCCCUCUGUAACAUCCGCAUUCUUAUGGCCCUCACCAGGCAAAUUAGGUACCAUUUUGACCAUCCACAUGAAGCAUUUCCUCUUGAUUGCAUUUCCUUCACCUACCGAGCUGCUGCCCUGCCAAGGUUCCACGAGAGCCACAUCCAGCACUGACUGCCCCCGGCCCUGCUCCUCAUCCUGCAGAAACUCAAGUGAAAAGGCAACCCUCAGGGCGGAGCUUGAGUGGGGCCCGGGAACACCUCCUCCCCGCACACAACCCGUUGGCCACCACACACGUGUACUGCAGCACGCACUCCGCUAAGCAGAUGACCUGCCCUACGCUCCCGCACACCUGCAUUGACAGGUAUGCCAUCCACGGCCUGACGCAGGUCGUGUCGCAUUUGGGCAGGAACCUGAUGGUCCUACAGGAGGGCAGGGAGCGGGGAAGGUCAUGGUGAGGACUUGUAGGCCAGCACUGGCCAUGAGGGCAAGGCGAAAACUGGGCUGUGGGUUUCCGUACAGGCAAACUAGGCGCGCCGUUCACAGAGCCGAGCGCGUGAGCAUGCAGCCUGACGUCUCGCAUACUGAAGUGGGUCAAGGCCUCAAGUAAUGGCAUGUGCACCGAGGUGUACUGGAGCCUAGCGCACCCACCAUGCAUGGCUACAAAAGGCCUAUGCUGUGGAAAAUGCAGAGGCAAACAUAGGCCAGACUGAGCUAGCACGCUUUCCACAAAGCACCAAAGCGCAAGUUGCAUUCGUCACACUCAGCUAGUAAAGCUCAUGUGGCAACGUGGCCAUAAGAGGAGUCUCUGUCCCCUGCCACCUUUGAUAUCGAGCGCUCACCGAUGUCCUUCUAGGGGUAGUGGUACGUGGACUUGGCGAGGAACAGGAACUGCGGGAUGAGGAUAUUCGUGUCAAUGCCCGCCGCCCCGUCUGCCGUCUUGAUGAUGCUGAGCAGCGGCGCUGUGCAGUUCUUGUCGGGACCACACCAGCGCGGCCUGAGGCAGAGAGGCGGAGGCACAGCUUGGUUUAGCACCCCGUGUACGCCAAGUCACGUGCGUGAGGGGUGGCCCCCUCUGGGUCGCUGUACCCUACAUACGGUACCACGGACCCCAGCACACUAGCCCAGCCUCCCCGGCCUGGGCAUUUUAACAGCCUAAUCCUGUCUCCCUUCGUGGCCCAUGUGGCCCAUGUGUCUCCAUACAGGAUUCAUGCAGGAUCCAUAAUUCCAAUUUCAGUGUACGAAUCGGUGGUAGUCUGACCGGUGCCGACAAAGCGCUGUCAGCUCAGUGCUCUCUCACAUGUUAUCGUCCACAUUGUGCACAAACCGCUCGUCCGGCAGCUCCAAAUCACCGCGGUCCAACAGCGGCUGAAGGUGUUUGUAGCACGCAUCGAUCUGUCGUGUGUGGGGCAUGAGAGGUAGGGAGGAGUUGAGCGUGGCAUACGCGCAUGGACCUGUCCGGGGUUCUUCCCGGCCUGGCACAUACAGCCCUUGGCUGGGUGCCCUCCCGGUCUAUGCCUUCCAGCGCCCAACCUAAGGCCAGGCAGAACACACACAACCACACACCCAUACAUUUACCAGCAGCAUUGGCACCCACAGCGUCAACCCUUUCUCCUAUUUGCUUUCCCAACACACACAUGCAUAACCUACCUGCAUUACGUCGUAGAUGUCCUCCGCACCCAUGCCUCGUGAGGUUGUGUUCCAAAACGGCACGUAUUCCACAUUGGGCUGCAGCAGCGACCUGCGUGCGAGCAUUGUGAGGCGGAAGCAGGCAUGUGCAAGGGGUGCCAUGAGGCAUGCAAAAUGGCAGGAAGUACGCGCACCAUAACCGUAAUGCUUGGCUGGCGCGCUAGGUCAUGGGCAUAUGGCAAAGGCUUAACGGCAGCACCAGCACCACUACCAGUAGCUUCGCACCACCCAGCAGGUCUCGUAUGCGCACGCGCGCACCGUGUGAAGUGGGCCAGGAAGGGCUGGUUCUGAUACAGCACCAGCGAGUUGGUGUGGAACAAUUGCGUGCAUGCAACAGUAUCCGCACAACUUGGAAUGUGCGUAUAAAGUAUGCGGCGGUUGGUUGUUGGGUGGUGAGCGACGCUGCUUGUCGGGCUGUCCGCAUGUACCAAAGCUGGCAGUGACCAACAGUUGGUAACAGUUCCGUAGCACGUAACGCUAAAUUACGCGUUCUGAGGUUCUGAAGAUAGCAAUCAACACACCGGGAGGUCGCAUGCAGGGCUGGCGCAUGAGGUAACUGCACGCAUGUGUGGCAUAUGGGCCAUGAGGCAUGCACACGCCCAUUGUUGGCGGGGGACCGGAAAUGGGCGGCAACGACUCCAAGAAGAAUGGAGCGGGCAUGCGUGGCGGGCAGAAGAAACAAACGGACCAGCCGCCUCGCUCAUUCCACAUGCAGGCUAGCCGGCUCGCUCCUGGAACGGCACCAGCUACUGGAACGGCACUUGCAGUCUGAUCACUACACCUCCUCUCGCCGGGGUUCAAAGGUUCAAGGCAGCCACGCCGGGCACUUGACUCACUUAAAGUAGGUGUGGUUGGCAAGCGGCACACCCCCGUGGCCGGCGGGUUCUUGGGCACACACUGCGGGACACGGGAGGUGUACGGCGUGCCAUAUCCAUUGUGCAUUGAACAAGCAUUGUGUGCCUGAUGUUUUAACAAUACAUUCAUCAGGCUUACUUAAUGCUUGCUCACACGGCAUAGUCAAGCAAGCGCACCCCUUGCUUGCUUCACCCUCCCAGCACCCCGGCCGGGGGCCCCCUCCCCCUAGGCAUACAUAGUCCAAAGCUGCACAAAUCUUAUUUGCCUGAAACCACCGGAACAACUGUCCUCGGCUUUGCAAUGCGAACCUAUUUUUGGGGCGAGCCGCACUGCUGCGGAACUGGUUUUUCUAAGCGCUCAGUCGUGGACUCAGUGGGUGACGGCUGGGUGAUGGCUCAGUCGUGGGCUCAGUGGGACGCACUCACUCUACCCUCCCGACGGUGCAGGGACGUGACGUCAACUCCGCAACCAACAUCCGGCACGCGCUGGUGGAGAUGCUGCUGGGGCACAAGCGACCUGAAUCGCUGCAGACUGGCGGCGGCGGCGGCGGCGGCGGCGGCGGCAGCGGCGGCGGCGGCAGCGGCGGCGGCAGCGGCAGCGGCAGCGGCAGCGGCAGCGGCAGCGGCGGCGGCGGCAGCGGCGGCAGCAGCGGCAGCGGCGGCAGCGGCGGCGGCGGCAGCGGCGGCAGCAGCGGCAGCGGCGGCAGCGGCGGCGGCGGCAGCGGCGGCAGCGGCGGCGGCGGCGGCGCGUGCGCGCAUCUUGGUAGCGUAGGGGGCGGGAAAGGCCACGUGGAGGAGGAGAGCGCAGCGCCGCCCAAGAAGCGGCGCAAGCGCGCAGGCUGAGGAGCCGGCUGGCGGUGUCUAGGUAGCGGUCCGCGGUGGGGCUGGCAGGGCAUGCGUAGCGGCAUGACAAGCAGUGCGGCUGUUGACAACUGUGCUGUGCAAGUGGCCGCGUCUGGCUGCGGUUGGCUCUGCUGUGGCAUCGCGAUUGCUAGGCACCUGGUUUGGCUAUGUGCCUGUGGAAACCGACCCCGGCUAUGUCCGGGCGAUGAGGCUGUUGGAAGGUCGCACCAUUUAGGAUUCAGGGUUUGUCUCCCCGGUGGCCUCGUUCCUGGUCCACGCGGUCUCAAUUAUAAACUGCACAAUUUGGAAUUAUAGCCUACCAAAACUUUUCCAGCAUUGCAAGUGACUCCACAGUGACUGGGCUGCUUUUGCAUAGUCCUAGGAAUUGACAAGCCGGGCGCUGUAAAAUGCCGCGAUUAGAGCCCAUCGAUGAGCGCAAUGCUUGCACCCUUUCCGGUUCAGUGCUUUACUCGUGGCGACGAGCUCGUCCUCGACGCAAAACAAUGUCUAGAGCCAGCCUGCCCAGCUCGAGCGCCACCUCAGGCUCGAGCUUAGCGUACCGCUGGGUCGCUGACUUCCACAAGGCUGCCACAGAAUACGAACGGAGCAUUCUAGAGGUCACCGCCGCGCUGAGGGCAAUCGGCGUGGAGCCCAACGCCCGGCCGCCUGCUCUGCGGCCGCCCGACGAGCCGCCGGCGCCGGGAGCCGCGGGGCCGGCCUCGGAGCCAGGCUCUUCGGCAUCGUCAGCGCCGGACGUCGGCCGCAGCCCUCAGAGGAAGUGGGUUGACGACUGGGCGAGAUUCCGCAAGGCCACGGAGGCGUACGUGGUCCAGUUGAGGGAGCAGCUCCAUCAGGCAGAGUUGCGCGCCCUCAAGGAGCAACAUCAGGCACAGUUGCAAGCUGCUGAGGAGCGGGGGCGGGCUCAGGCGCAGCGGGAGGCGGCUGCGGCAGCGCUGGCGGCGCCGGCCCCCAAAUGCUGGUGCUGGCCCUGGCGCUGAUGGCCCCCCGGCCCCAGGUGGCUGCAGGCCAGGUGAGGAUGCUUCCGUGGGUGGAGAGGUUCGGGCAAUGGAAGGGUUAUGGAGGGGGGAGGCGGCGGAGUGGGCGGAUUCGGCGGAGUGGGCGGAUGCAGGACCCGCGGGUUGUGAGGGAGGCGCAAGCGGAGGGUGGGAGGCGGCAGACUCGGAGCGGACCUCGCAAUGGCGGGCAGACCUCCUGGCGGCAGCUCCGUGUGCACGAUCGCCCCUCUCGGCUCUCGUCACCUGUACUGCCUUCUUCCCCUCCCUCGGCCCCGCAGACGAACCCGCUGUGGCCGCGGGAGCUCCCUACCCCCUACCCGCCUUGGUGCCCUCCCCCCCACCGCUGGGUAUCGUGCCGGCCCCGCUGGCGCCCUGCCGGGCAGCGCCCCUGCCCGCUGGCGCUCCGCUGUCCAUGGCUUCGCGGCGACGCCCAACGGGUGGUGGGAAUGGCAUGCGUGGCAGAUCAGGCCGUGCGAGGGACGGGCGCGGCGGAGUCAGGAAUGGUGACGUGUUGCUGAGGCGACGUGCGGCCCACGUGCCGGCGAUGGCAGUAUCAGCGGUGGCAGGGUGGGGCGUGGGGCGGCUGAGGUGGCUGAGUCUGGCCGCAGCCGUGGGCAGUCUCAGGCUGGCUGCCUGAGCAGCAGUGGUGCCGCGUGUACUUUGCACGUGCGGUGUGCGGCGCGGCAAUCCUCGCAACUACCGACAGUUUAACUGACACACGGGGAUCACAAACGGGCUUUCGCGCAACUGCCAGCGAACAGGGGCGGCACGUGGCGUGGCGGUUGGCGCGCGGCGCGAGUGGGAGUGCGUAGUUGGACAGCGAGGCGUGUGGGAAGCUGCAACAGAGUACGGCGGGGCUUGGCGGAGGCUGGCGGUUGGCGCGCAGCGCGAGUGGGAGUGCAUAGUCGUGCGCGUGCCGUUUGGGAAGCUGCGUGUGCGAUGGGACAGUGGUAAGGCAGGUUGGUAAAGUCCCGUAGGGUGCAGCUGAUUCCCAGAACCCAGCAGAUGGCAAACAAUUUGCAACGGCAGGGCAGGAGUACGCGGCCGGUCGAACGCCGGAGUUACUGUACCGACGAGUUGCUGGCUGGCUGGAAGUUUGCUGACGCGCAUUCCUCCGGGCGCCCGGCCAGGCGACAGCACCACAGACACACCGCAACGCCACACUCGCGAGGCAUAGCCGCAUCGCACCUGCAGGAAGAUGACCAGCGUCCACGGAUGAGCACCAAAUGCACACAGAGAGGCCGGGCGACAGUCUGACAAGCAGGGGUGAAAACAGGGCGCGGCAAGGGAGAAAAGGGUUUGGGAAGCUGCGUGUGUGAGCUGCGUGUGUGAGCCGCGUGUAAACCCAGAGAGACGCAUGGGGCUGACCCGGUUUCCAUAACUGCCUCUAAGCGCACACGGUCGCACACGGUUGACAUUUGGGCUCAAGCGCAGGCGGGACUCGCUGGAGUGCAUGAUAGUCGCUGGUGGGCACGCGCGGGCGGGGCGCGGGGGGAACUCGGCGGAAACUCGGCAAAAACUGGCGUGGAAUUCGCGCAAAACUCGCAUGAAACUCGGGCGAAAUUCCGGCAAAACUCGGGAGUCGCACCAGGCUGCGACAGCUCAUACUCUCAUGAACGUGUAUGUGGGGGCUGUGCAAAUUGACGGGUACAGGGGCGACAGAUGCGACAGAAGUGCGAAUGGUGGCAGACCGCACGGGGAGGGCGAGUAAUGCUGUGGGCGGAACGCGGAAGUUCUACGACACACAAGUAUAUAAACCUGGGGCAUCUAGAUGUGUCUUUUUCCGACUGUCCUACUGUCAAGUAUCAGGGCCAUUCUAGGGCGAGCAAUGUCGCUGCGGACCUGGGGGGUUUUGAGGAACAAUGGUCUUGUGAAUGCGCCUCCCAAUAAUAGAAACUCCAGGAACCAUACAGUUAUCUCUUCGCAUCGCGUUGCUUGGACGCGAGCAAACAUGGCAAGUAGCGCUCACGAUCGCCGCACAAGCCAACAAACGGCAAACAGCGUUGAUCCGCUGACGCCAGAUAUCAUUUGUAAAGUAGCAGAGCAGCUGCCGCCGAACGACGUCGCUUGCGGCCUCAAGCUCGCGAGCCAGGUCCUCGCCGCACCUUUGCGUGGCCUCUACCGCACCGUUCACCUGCAGCAUCCCACCAACCCGGACCUGCCUUGUGAGCCCUGGCCCGGGCCGCACUUCGUGUCACACUGGGGCCGGCCCGAGCCCUGGCGUGCCCUGACGCUGCGGCAGCGGCGGCGGGUCCUGGGCCUGGCAGCGGCGUCCGGCGAUGCUGCAAGCCUGGACAUAGCGCUUGCGCACUGUGGCGCUAGCGCGGGCGAGGCAGUCGUGCCGCCGGCCGCCGCCGGCAGCAUCCCUGCCCUGGAGCGGCUGCUGCAGCUGCCGGGGGGCCGGGACUGCGUGUUCGAGGCGGCCUGUGCGGCGGCGGGCGCGGGCCAGCUGCACGUCCUGCAGUGGCUGCACCGGCGGCCGGACUACCGCGCCGCACUGGACAACGUCGUGUCGAGGCGCUGCGUGAUGGAGGCCGCCGCGCGAGGCCGCCAGGACGCAGUGAUUGAAUGGCUCCUUCAGCAGGACCUGGUUACCUGCCAGAACAAGGAUGCCAGGACCUGGGUCAUGGUGGCCGCCGCUCUGGGCUGCAAGCCUGUACUGUCGCGUGCGUUUCCCGCCAUGCUGCGGUGGCACCAUCGCCACACAUCGGUGCUGCCCUCCUUUGUGUACGGCUGUACGCUGUCGGAGCUGCAGCAGCACUUUGACGCCAUAGUAGACACGCCCGAGGAGUUGUACCAACUACCCUUGGGAUUGUACGUGUCCGUGGCGGCCGCCAGCCCGGCCUCCGACUGGCUGCAGAGGGUGGAGUACCUGGAGCAACGCUGGGCGGCGGCGACGGCGGGCCGGCGGGGAACAGCGGAUGACGACAACUACCACCAGAAGCGCCUGCGCUCGCCGUGGCUGCACAUUACGGUCUCCAGCGAAACCUACACUACUCUUAAGACGCCGCCAGACUACAUACAACGGCUGGAGGUACGGGUUUGCAGACCGAUAGCGCACAUAGAUACAUGUCCGUCGCCGUUGAGUACUUGUUUGGGUGCUCAUGGGUGGCUCAUCAUACGGGGGCCAUGGAAACCGCGUGUGCAGUCCCGUGUGCGGCACUGCCCAGAUAUCUAUCUUGCUUGUCUAGUUUGUCUCCAACCUGUGCCUGCCAUGCGAAGCGCUGUGGGGAAGAUGCCUUCCAAUGUGUGCACCAUGCAACGGCGACCACUGGUAGCGACCUGCGCUGCGUCUGCUUGCUUAGCCCGCGUGGCGCUCCGAUUCUGAAGACCUGCAGCUGCGUUAUGGCUGCUGCAGGCUCUGGUGGCGCGCGGUUACACACUGGACUGCACUGCCUUGGCGGCAGCUGCGGACGGGACGACCGACCUGGGCAUUCUGCAGUGGCUGCUGGACGAGCAGGACUUCCGGCCCGCUGACAACCCUUACGUACUGCGGGGGCUGUGCGACGAGGCGUCGCUGGCCGGGCUGCACAUGCUCUGGGCGCGCGGCAUCAUCACUGAUCACCAGCUCUUCGAUGCGAUCAGCAGCAGGGACGGGAUCUCCUGGAGGGAGCGCCGGCUGGAGCCAGAGGCAGUAGGGGCACUGGUGGACGGCAUGGAGGGCGGGAACAAUGCGGCUGGCUGGGGCUUCCUGUUUGGUGCGGCGGCGGAGCGGGGUAUGCCACUCGCGCUGCUGCGGGCGCUGCACGAGCGGCGCGGUGCCGCCAUCGACCUGGGCGCGAUGGUGCGAGGCGGCUGCAGCGUGGAGGCGCUGGAGUGGGCACGGCACGCGCUGCAGGGGGCGGCGGCGACAGAGCAGGUGCGUUGCUUGUUCAAGGGACCUUCUACUUAAGACAGCGAAAAGGGCAAGCGUGACGGCGGCUUGGAAAAGGGCAGGCGUGACGGCGGCUUGGCUGCCAUAGGGAGGCAGCAGCGGCGUUUGGGGCGCAGGUGCGUGCGCGACUGCCGUUGGUGGCAGGGGCAUGAGUGGGGAGGUGCACGGGCGGCAUGUCACGGAUACACGCAUUGCACAUGUUGUCACCUGAAGCCUCGCUUCUCCGUGUGCGUCACCCAAAUAAUCGGGUUUGCGGCCUAACUGACUGCGGCCUGACCCGCCCCCGGGAUCCCGCAGGUGAGCGACUGCUCGCUGUCGACUAAGGAGCUGUGGGCGGCGGCCUGUGCCGGAAACUUUGACGCCGCGGACUGGCUAUGCGACAGGGGGCUCGUCAGCAGCGCGGCGCAGCAGCAGCCCGCCGGCGGCGGCGGCACGGCCGCGCCUCUGGGUGCAGAGUGGGUUGUGGCGCAGGUAGAGGCUACGGUGGAGAUGACUGUAUACAAGCGUCGGGCGGCGAUGGUGGGCCUUGCGUGGUGGCGCCAGCGGGCAGGGCAGGAGAAGCUUAGCCCAGAGCAAGAGAAGCGGAUUAGCAGAGUAGUACUGGAGGCGAAGCGCUAGCGGCAGCCAAGAAAACUAACGAAGCAAAGAUGUGUGGGCGGUCUGUGUGAGUGUGUUGAAGGGAUGUUGUACAUGUGAGCGCAGCACUUGUGAAAGCUGACGACAUGCACGGAGCUGGAAGUGGGUUUCAAUAACGCUAGACGUAUCUUCGCAUAGAAUAAUUGCUGAACGCUGAAGGCACCAUCGUGCCCACCGCCGCUUUUACUUCCGACACAAGUAAGCGAGAUGGUGGGGCAAGAACGAUUGGGACAGAUGUUUAGGCGUGGGCUCUUCACACACGGAAGCGCAGCUACCAUCGCUUGGGCCCCCAUGCGGUACUGACCUGGGCACUGUAUCACAGCCUUACAGGCAUGCACACGCAAAUCUGAACUGCUUUGGUCGGUCAGAGAGUAGAAACCAUAUCUCUCAAGAACCUAUACCGCAGCCGAUGCUUAAUGGCUAGUGUUGCCUCCCCAGUGCCCACUUGCCUCUCCGCCAGGUGCCUCUCCUCAGCUGCCUCCUCUGCCCAGCUACCGCCUUCGAUCACUGCCUGUCCUCUUCCCAGCUGCCUCCCCUCCUUGAUCAAGCCCUCAGCUGCAGGUGGCAAUGCUCCACAGCCCCUGUUGCCUCCUCAGCUGCCUCCUCAGCUCCCUCCCCAGGGCAGGGGCCUGUCCUUGGAUGCUUGGCCCUAAGCUGUUGCCUCCUCAGCAGCAAUACCUGCUCAGGUUCGAUCACUGCCUUCCCUCUUCCCAGCUGCCUCCCUCCUCAAUUAAGCCCUCAGCUGCCUCCUCCAGGCUCCAGCCCUCAGCUGCAGUCGCCACUCCGCAGCAGUGCCACCAGUUGCAGGUAGCCGGGCUGCUCGGGUGUGAUGAAGCCGUGUCGGAUGAGGAAGUCGAUGAUCACCAGGCUGCAGGAGGUGGGGCGGAGGUGAGGGAGAAGGGGGGCGGAGGUGGGGGAGGAGAGGGGUAUAGAGGGUGGGGGCAGCUCGGGCGCAGCACCGGUCCCACACCCACACUAGGCCACAUCAUCACUACGCCUCACCAACACCGUGCCUCGCACCAGCAAUUGGUCUUGAACUCGGUGGUGGUGGCCACCAGCUGCGCCACCUCCUCCAGCGGCAGCAGCUGGAACUCCUGAACCUCGCCGUCCUGCAGUGUGCGUGUGUGUGUGUGUGUGUGUGUGUGUGUGUGUGUGUGUGUGUGUGUGUGUGUGUGUGUGUGCGUGCGUGUGUGUGUGUGUGUUUGGGGGGGGUUACAUUGAUGAUUAUUUAAGAAGUGAAGGCGUAGCAAGGAACAAGGGGGGGAAGGCGGGGCAGGCGGGGCAGGCGGGUGGGGGCGGGUGGGGGGAAGGGCGGGGUGUGCAGAUGUGUGGUGCAGGUGGCCCAGAAGAAUUGUUGACAGGGCCAAUGCCGCCGUCGGCACGUCCAAAAACACACAGGCCCUGAAC
rnacentral:lncRNA from 1 species